rnacentral:lncRNA from 1 species
AGACUUAGACAGAGACCGUAACUCUUACGGCUCUGAUACCAAGAAAAGGGAUGAACCAAGAAAAGGGAUGAACAUAUCAGAGAUAGAAGAUAAACAAAAUACAGAAUGAUGCAGUAAAAUAAUGCUUAUAUGAAAUUACUCAAAAUAGAGAUAAUUGAAAAUAAUGUUAUAAAAUAACCUGGAAUAUAUGCGGAUAUUGAGCUGCACGUAAAAUAGAUGAGACACAGCUUUUAACGAGGUUCGGCUAUGCCUACGUCCUCGGAGAGUAGCAGCAGUAACCUUUCACUAUAAAAUGAUAUGGCUACAACUUUAGUGUUUACAACAUAUGUGGCUCACUGAAUUUUCUCUCUAGGAGAAUUUCUCUCUGCUUUCUCUUCUCUCUUUUCUUUUUCUUCUUUUCUUAUUUCUUCUUUCUCUGAUGGUGGUCUUAUUUAUAGGCUGAAAUAAUCACUAUUCACUAUUCACCCGUGACAGACAAACUCUACCAAAGUCUCCAAAUGAAUAGUAAUGAAUUCACCCGUGACAGACAAACUCUACCAAAGUCUCCAAAAUGAAUAGUAAUGAAUAGUUAGUGGGCUCCACACCAAGACUUUGUUGUAAAAGUGGAGUCUGGAGUCCCCAAAAUGCCCCCCCUAAUGUCUAUAAAUUGGGCUUUCCUUACUUGUAAAUGAAACACACAGAAAUCUGAAUGAGAGUUUCUUCUCUCUAUCUCAAUUCUCUCGAUUUCCCUCUACAUUUACAACACGUUAUCAGCACGAGUCUUUAACCGGCUGAGUUCUCUGAUGAAACCCAUUUAGAUAAACCAACAGCAGUAAGCAACAAAUUGAUCAGUAUUUCAGAAUCUCUGAUUUCUUGAUCUCAGAAAUUGAUCAAGACACCCAAAACCCCUUUAACCUGUGCAUCUUACUCAAGCCCCUCUCUUUCUCUUUCUCCAUAGCUCAACAGCAAGACCCACAUCACAAAUUCUCCAAUUCUUUGAACCCAUUGAAGAAAAACCAGAAGAAAUUAGCUGGUUUGUCGAAAUGGGUUCGGAUUCGUUGCCCAUGAAACCCACACCGAUCCCAACCCAAGAUGAAGAGCUUCCAAACCCAGCUACGGCUCUGCUCUCUUUUCCUUUCCCUUGAAGCCCGAGGCUCCACACUUGUCUCAGCCCAUCGCACAAGGCGAUUAAGGCUCCAAGUUCUCUGAAGUUACCGGUUACCUAUUUCCAAGUUCUAGCCGACGACCUCCAGAGCCUGAGCUUCACCUCCACCACAGCAACCAAGCGCAGCACAAGCUCCGCCUCCGAAUCCACGCUCACGGCUUCCGCCUCCUCCUCGGCGCGCAUAGCACCCGUCCCUCGUCUCCAAUGUCUAGCGUAACUGUUAGGAUAUGGAUUGCCAUAUUGUUCUUGAGCUGUGCUUGUUAUUGUUCUUAUGGGGCUGUGGUUGAGGACGAUGUGAAGUGUCUUCAGAGCCUUAAGCAAUCUCUGAAAGACCCACUUGGAAAGCUGGUCUCUUGGGAUUUCAGGAACACGUCUGUGGUUUCCAUGUGCAAGUUUGUGGGAGUUACCUGCUGGAACGAUCGAGAGAACCGCAUAUUAAACCUUGAGCUCAGAGACAUGGAGCUUUCUGGUGCUAUUGCGAAGGACAUAGAGUACUGUUCUAGCCUUCAGAAUCUGGAUCUUGGAGGCAACAAGCUUUCUGGGUCGAUCCCUCCUGAUAUUUGUACUUGGUUGCCGUUUUUGGUGACCUUGGACUUUUCCAACAAUGAUUUCUCAGGCUCAAUCCCAACUGAUCUGCAGACCGAGAGGUUUACUCUGCGGCCAAGGCGGUCGGGUUCGGUGACGUCGACUUGGUGGCGGCCGAGACCGGUUGGCCUUCGUCUUGCGAGUUCUCUGUCUGCUCGGUUCAGAACAGCCGUGGAAUUCCAAGAACCAGCUCUGGUUGGCUUUGGAAUCUGGUUUUGCUAAGUGGUCAGCCGGAUUUGCAAACCACUGUUUAGAAAGGCAUCAUUGUUAAGGCCUAAAGCGUCUUGAAGAAAGCUAUGGCACUAAGCAGGAAGUGUAAGUAAUUAUUGCACUAACCAUGUGCACAGCCUACACACCGAUAAAGAAAAGCAAACCCACCGACAGAAAGAAAAAAUUAAAUAUUUAAAAAAAAAAUAAAAAAAAUAAAAAAAAAAAGGGGUCUGAAGCAUCUUUUAAUAAAAACAGCAAAACCUACCGACCCACCGAAAGAAUAAGUGAUAAGAUCUCUGCUCCCUUAUAUUCUCUAUUAUUUCCUAUUAUAUUUAUCUGCUUUUCUUUUACUAACCAUUAACAAAAAUGGACCCUUGGUAAUACUAAACAUGUUAUCAGUGGGAGACCGUUACUAAUACUAACACUUUACUUUAUGAAAUUUACUUUACUGCAAAUUUACUUUACCGCACAUUUAUUUUAUUUACUGUAUGGUGUAGGUUUAUUACCCAUACAACAGUAUUUAUUUAAAAGGGUGGCGCGGGUUUAUCGUCCACGCCUUUACUUUUAUUUAAAUGUAUGGAGCAGAAUUAGUGCCCAUACAAGCACAUUUAAUUUACCGCACAUUUACAUUUAUUUAAAAGGGUGGUGCGGGUUUAUCGUCCACGCCUUUGCUUUUAUUUAAAUGUAUGGAGCAGAAUUAGUGCCCAUACAAGCACAUUUAAUUUACCGCACAUUUACAUUUAUUUAAAAGGGUGGUGCGGGUUUAUCGUCCACGCCUUUACUUUUAUUUAAAUGUAUGGUGCGGGUUUAUCGUCCAUACCAGUAAUUUAUUUACCAGCAAUUUAUUUUAUGGAUUAAUUGUGCUGUAUGAUGAGUUUUUACAGUAUGCAGAUCAGGACCAGAAGUUCCUUGAUCCUCAUCAUACAAUUACGUCAGGACUUGAAGAUCCUUCAUGAUGAUAUUAAUAUGAGAGCUGGCAGUCUCUCCGGUACUGUAUUUGUAAACAUGUGAUCGAAAUUAAGGGUCCUUGAUCCCUGACAUGUAAAUAAGGACCUAGAGUUCCUUAAUGAUGUAACAGUACCGUAUUGGUUCAUAGUGCCGUACACAUUGAUGAUAACUGUACUGGCAGAUGAAUAGAUACGUAUUCAUGACUUGAUGAAUAGUACUAUUCACAUGAAUAGUGACGUAUGCAUAAAUAUGAACCAUUUUGGGUAAACCGUCACUAUAUAUAAAAGGGAACCUGCAGUUUCAUGGUGCCGUACACAUUGAUGAUAACUGUACUGGCAGAUGAAUAGAUACGUAUUCAUGACUUGAUGAAUAGUACUAUUCACAUGAAUAGUAACGUAUGCAUAAAUAUGAACCAUUUUGGGUAAACCGUCACUAUAUACAAAAAGGGAACCUGCAGUUCCUUAAACUCAUGGAUGAGCAAUUAAAUGAGAUGCCAGAAGUUCCUCAAAAUAUGGACAAUUAUGUAAGGGCUUGAAGUCCCGAAAUAUGUACAGAAAAUUGUAAAAAUGUCCAUACCAUGAGAAUAUGUGGCUUUGGCCUGAAGUUCAAAAUUUAACAGUGUUGAGAACCUGAAGUUCCAACAAUUAAAUGGACAACCCUUGAGAUAUUAUUGCAAAUUGUGGUAUGCCACAUAUUUCUUUGGCAUAAGAAGAUGAUGAAUUUAAAGUUCGAUUUUGCUAUAAUCGACACCUCAAGGAAGAAAUAUAUUUUGUGAAUUCCGGUUGUUAAGAAUACACCGCGAAAUGGAUAAUAUCAAAAUAAACCUUAAAUAAUGAAUUGAGGCUCCCCACAUAUUUUGUUAUAUCUGGGCCGGAAGCCCAUGGAUCCAAAUAUAUGAGAGAUCCUGAACUUGAAGUUGUGGGUAUAUAGUAGUUAAUGCUCUUCACUACUAUAUUGUGAUAUUAUCAUGGCUUUUACUCAAUUCAUAUUUCAUGUCCAUUUGAAAAGGGCAAAUAAAUUCUGAGUUUGUGUUUAGCCCAAGACAAAAGUUCCGGGCUCCCAUACGUUGAAAUAUGAAAUUUGGGAGACUCGAUGUGGUUAUUUGAACCUAUAAGGCACAAGAUUCCAAACCGUCAUUUUGAAAAGACGUAAAAACCACAGGUGCAAAUUUUAAGAAUGUGUGCAAUUAUUAUAACAGGAAAGGAGCAAGUUGAAACGCAGUUGCUCCAAUCAAGUUUUGCAAAGGCAAUAUCUAUCGGAGGAAAUAUGGCUACAGUUUCCAGGAUCCCAAUAUUAUCUCAGAUCCCCAUAUUAUCUUUUUCUUUCCCAGAUUCCAAAACUUCACGUGGCCUCCAUUAAAUGUUUGUCGGCACUUUCUACGUUUUCAAAGUUUUAUUUUCAUCAAAAGCCGAUCUUGCUUUACGGAUUUCACGGAGCUACUUUUUCAAAAGUACCCCGAGAAUCUCGCAAUUUUCUUAUGGUUAAUUUGAAAUUCACCGGUUCUACCUAUUUGUGUAUAAAUGUGUUACUAACGAAAUUUUCUUUGCAGAAGACAUCCAGUUUUCUCCAUACCUAGUGAUGCGAUAUCUACUUGUUUUUCUUAUCACUGAGCACUUAAUAUGCCCGAGAAGCAAGACUAUCUCUGAUCAUCCAUUCAGGAAGCGAGACUAUCCCUGAUCACGUUUCCGCUGCAUUAGGGAACUGUGAAGGCGAUCUUAUGCUCUAAUCUCCGGAAGUCCUUCUAGACUAGGAGAUAUGAGAGCUUAUUGUCUGCUCCCAUCAGCUUCCUUCCCUGAUUGCUUACCUUCUCUGUUUACAUUUUUUCUCUUUCUGUAACUCUCUGAGGAUUAUUUGUUUUUGACAGAGAAAAGAGUUGUGAUUUUACUCUUGCAGGAUAUAACUAGAUCAUCAAGCGCUACAUUUACUGGGCCGAUACAAGCUUGAAUGAUACUUGAGAAAAGUUUCUCCCACCUAAGGACGUAAGCAAUACUUGUGUUAUUUUAUGCUUAUAUACUUAUUUGAUAUUUUAUCUUGAAAGAUAAGUCCGUUCCAAAAGAAUGGCUUGUAUGUAUCCAUGAAUUAUUAAUGCAAAUUUUACAGAUUGUAAGUUGGAUACAUUGAUAAUACACUGCACAGAUUAAAAUCCCAUAAGAACAGAAUAUGGGUAUAGCAGUGAUCAAUAUGAUGCACGCCUGUUGCGUAGCAAAUGAUGUGGAUUGAAGUCCCGAAAGGACAAUCCUUUGACAUGUCAAUAUUGAUAUUAUGCACGCCUAAUGCGUAGCAAAUUAUAUGGGUUCAUGUCCCAGAAAUUAAUUGACAUGUAUGUAUUAAUCUGUGGCAUGCCUGCAGCAUGACAGAUAUAUGGGUUCUAAAUAUUCCAACUCCCUAAAUGGAGAUUUUCCACGCCCUAUGUAAAAUAACGCUCCAUUGGAGGUUAUAAUCCACAUUCUCACAUAAUAAAAGCCCCAUGAAGUGGCUUGGGUACCCAAAAGCAAAGAAAUGCUUAUAAUUGAUGCAUGCGCAUGCACAUGAGAAUGAUGGGAUCAUGAAUUGAUGAAUGAUAAUUUUUGAUCAUGAAUUGAUGAAUGACAAUUUUUUGUUUUUGGAGUAGCUACUCAAAUCAUCAAUGGGCUGUGUUGAUUGGAACCACGUUCAAUUAUUAAAUGUCGACAAUAUCAUUGGCCAAAAUGGAACGAGGUAAUUCCAUUAUAAAUGAGAAUGAACGUGAAAGAACAAACCCACAAUACGAACCCCAAAAUUUGUUAAUACUGAAUUUAUACUUGGGUGUUCGGAAUAAAAGGGAAUAUACCUACUUUGUAUGACACACUGUUUCUAGCAGAAACAAAGAAUGUUGGGUUUUUCUCCAUAUUUACAGAUUCAAUUGUGCCCCCCUUAUUACACAAUUACGGAGACCAACAUAUUAUCUUUAAGGGUUAUUAAAUGCACAGAGCAUAUCGCCAGAAGCGAUUCCCUAAAAGAUGUAUAAAUAGCUGGGUUAAAGCUAUAUAAUGUGUCAUAAAGUUUAAUCCUUUUUUUUUUAGACAAAAUCCGUUGAGAGGAUUGACAUUGCAUAAAGCAAGUCCCUAAAGGACAUGUGCUUGAAGCACAAAAUUUGUACUCAAUAUUAAUAUGCAUAAAUUACCUCAGUGAGUACAUUGAUUAUAAUGUGAUUGCAACACAUUAAAGAUUCUGCAGAAUUCACGAAAUAUUUGUCUCGACUUAAGGAUCGAGCAUUGUGCCAACGAGAUUCUUGCUUAUACUAAGAAAGUAUUGAAGCAUUUUUAUGAGGAUUAUCCGUUGGUCCUUAAAUAUUUUUCCAGAAGUAUACUAGACCAGAUAGAGCUCAGCUCCACACUGUACUCUUUUUCCUUCAUCCAGGUUUUUAUCCCAUUGGGUUUUUCCUGGUAAGGUUUUAACGAGGCAGUGUCGCUCAAAGGUUUAGGGUAUACUAUGAAAGUUUUUAUGGUCGCUUACUGGACAAAAGCUAGUCCUAAAUUUUUCAGGGGGAGAUAUUCAUGAGGGGGAGAAAGGUUUUAAUAAAGACCUUUAUACACUGUACUCUUUUUCCUUCAUCCAGGUUUUUAUCCCACUGGGUUUUUCCUGGUAAGGUUUUAACGAGGCAGUGUCGCUCAAGAUUGACUCACAGAAGCAGUGUCAACUACGAUAUUCAGAAAGCUGAUCAACAGUAUGACUUAAAGAUAUUUUGCCAAGCAUCAGGAGGAGCGCACCAUCAAUAAAGAUCUUCAAACACCGUACUCUUUUUUUCCUUCGUCCGGGUUUUUAUCCCACUGGGUUUUUCCUGGCAAGGUUUUAACGAGGCAGUGUCGCACGCGCGUCAAUAUACUUAGAAUUUUAUGUUACACAUGAUUAUGUACUCUUUUUCCCUUUGUCCAGUUUUUUUGUCCCACUGGGUUUUUAUUGGCAAGGUUUUUAACGAGACAUAUUCUGUAUCAUUUGUGGUCUCCAAGGGGGAGUGUUGUAAAAGUGGAGUCUGGAGUCCCCAAAAUGCCCCCCCUAAUGUCUAUAAAUUGGGCUUUCCUUACUUGUAAAUGAAACACACAGAAAUCUGAAUGAGAGUUUCUUCUCUCUAUGUUGUAAAAGUCUUGGUGUGGAGCCUACUAACUNNNNNNNNNNNNNNNNNNNNNNNNNNNNNNNNNNNNNNNNNNNNNNNNNNNNNNNNNNNNNNNNNNNNNNNNNNNNNNNNNNNNNNNNNNNNNNNNNNNNNNNNNNNNNNNNNNNNNNNNNNNNNNNNNNNNNNNNNNNNNNNNNNNNNNNNNNNNNNNNNNNNNNNNNNNNNNNNNNNNNNNNNNNNNNNNNNNNNNNNNNNNNNNNNNNNNNNNNNNNNNNNNNNNNNNNNNNNNNNNNNNNNNNNNNNNNNNNNNNNNNNNNNNNNNNNNNNNNNNNNNNNNNNNNNNNNNNNNNNNNNNNNNNNNNNNNNNNNNNNNNNNNNNNNNNNNNNNNNNNNNNNNNNNNNNNNNNNNNNNNNNNNNNNNNNNNNNNNNNNNNNNNNNNNNNNNNNNNNNNNNNNNNNNNNNNNNNNNNNNNNNNNNNNNNNNNNNNNNNNNNNNNNNNNNNNNNNNNNNNNNNNNNNNNNNNNNNNNNNNNNNNNNNNNNNNNNNNNNNNNNNNNNNNNNNNNNNNNNNNNNNNNNNNNNNNNNNNNNNNNNNNNNNNNNNNNNNNNNNNNNNNNNNNNNNNNNNNNNNNNNNNNNNNNNNNNNNNNNNNNNNNNNNNNNNNNNNNNNNNNNNNNNNNNNNNNNNNNNNNNNNNNNNNNNNNNNNNNNNNNNNNNNNNNNNNNNNNNNNNNNNNNNNNNNNNNNNNNNNNNNNNNNNNNNNNNNNNNNNNNNNNNNNNNNNNNNNNNNNNNNNNNNNNNNNNNNNNNNNNNNNNNNNNNNNNNNNNNNNNNNNNNNNNNNNNNNNNNNNNNNNNNNNNNNNNNNNNNNNNNNNNNNNNNNNNNNNNNNNNNNNNNNNNNNNNNNNNNNNNNNNNNNNNNNNNNNNNNNNNNNNNNNNNNNNNNNNNNNNNNNNNNNNNNNNNNNNNNNNNNNNNNNNNNNNNNNNNNNNNNNNNNNNNNNNNNNNNNNNNNNNNNNNNNNNNNNNNNNNNNNNNNNNNNNNNNNNNNNNNNNNNNNNNNNNNNNNNNNNNNNNNNNNNNNNNNNNNNNNNNNNNNNNNNNNNNNNNNNNNNNNNNNNNNNNNNNNNNNNNNNNNNNNNNNNNNNNNNNNNNNNNNNNNNNNNNNNNNNNNNNNNNNNNNNNNNNNNNNNNNNNNNNNNNNNNNNNNNNNNNNNNNNNNNNNNNNNNNNNNNNNNNNNNNNNNNNNNNNNNNNNNNNNNNNNNNNNNNNNNNNNNNNNNNNNNNNNNNNNNNNNNNNNNNNNNNNNNNNNNNNNNNNNNNNNNNNNNNNNNNNNNNNNNNNNNNNNNNNNNNNNNNNNNNNNNNNNNNNNNNNNNNNNNNNNNNNNNNNNNNNNNNNNNNNNNNNNNNNNNNNNNNNNNNNNNNNNNNNNNNNNNNNNNNNNNNNNNNNNNNNNNNNNNNNNNNNNNNNNNNNNNNNNNNNNNNNNNNNNNNNNNNNNNNNNNNNNNNNNNNNNNNNNNNNNNNNNNNNNNNNNNNNNNNNNNNNNNNNNNNNNNNNNNNNNNNNNNNNNNNNNNNNNNNNNNNNNNNNNNNNNNNNNNNNNNNNNNNNNNNNNNNNNNNNNNNNNNNNNNNNNNNNNNNNNNNNNNNNNNNNNNNNNNNNNNNNNNNNNNNNNNNNNNNNNNNNNNNNNNNNNNNNNNNNNNNNNNNNAUACAUUAUUUUCAUUAUCGUGCUGAUAACAUGUUAUAAAAUAACCUGGAAUAUAUGCGGAUAUUGAGCUGCACGUAAAAUAGAUGACACAGCUUUUAACGAGGUUCGGCUAUGCCUACGUCCUCGGAGAGCAGCAGCAGUAACCUUUCACUAUAAAAUGAUAUGGCUACAGCUUUAGUGUUUACAACAUAUGUGGCUCACUGAAUUUUCUCUCUAGGAGAAUUUCUCUCUGCUUUCUCUUCUCUCUUUUCUUUUUCUUCUUUUCUUAUUUCUUCUUUCUCUGAUGGUGGUCUUAUUUAUAGGCUGAAAUAAUCACUAUUCACUAUUCACCCGUGACAGACAAACUCUACCAAAGUCUCCAAAUGAAUAGUAAUGAAUUCACCCGUGACAGACAAACUCUACCAAAGUCUCCAAAUGAAUAGUAAUGAAUAGUUAGUAGGCUCCACACCAAGACUUUUACAACAAAUAACAACUUUUAUAUAUAUAUAUAUAUAUCACAUGCACAAAUGAAUACUUCAAUUCCUUUUUACUUCCAUACAGUGCCAAAAAAACCCUUAUAAUUCCCGCAUGCAAACAUGCAUAAAUUUCCAACAUUUCCCAUAUCCAAGUAAAAACAAAUAUAAGUUUAAAAAUACCUUUUUAUGCAUGAAAUUUAAACUUUAAAACAAUUCUUAUUUAAAACAAAGCCCACUCACAGAAAGUCCAAGCUGGUAGUGCCCGAUGGGGGUCUCGUCUGCUAGCUAGCCAGAGCCUGAGCACCUAUUGAAGAAAUAUCGAGAUAUGUUAAAAAUUGUAUUUCGAACACGAACUUUAAGUUAGAAAGAAAACCCUAAUUCCCGGGAUUUAAUGCGUAGUUCCUGCUGGAGAGAAUAUGAAAAAUAGGAGUGAGAGAUGGAUACCUGGAGAAAAUUGAUGAGAAUAACCUAUUGAGAAGAUAGCAGAGAACCCUAGGGAGAAGAAUGAAAAGAGUGUUUAAUUUUUCAUGGUAGAACGCGUGUUCUUUUCCCUAGUCUUAUAAUUAAGCGUAUAUUAUCUAAACUGGUGUGUGUGAGUUGAAUUAGUUAGUCAGAAAAGGAGAGUAUUAAAAAUCCAACCCAUUUAAAAUAGUCAAGUAAUUAAAUAAUACAAGUUGACACCAACAUGACAUGGACUAUUUACUCCUAUCCAAAGUCUAAUACGGUGUAUCAAAUGAGCCCUUAGUACUCUCAUCACCUGACUAACUAAUACAAUUCACAGACCCCGGUUUAGAUAAUACACGCUUAAUUAUAAGAUUAGGGAAAGAAAGAACACACACACUCACUCUCUCUCUCUCAAGUUGAUUAGCAACUGAUGACUAUUCUGACUAGCCUAUAAACCCAGCAGGUUGACUCUUCCUCCAGCCCCUAAUGAACGAAAUAAUUUGUUGUGCCAUAGACAGACUCAAUCAAAUCCCUUCAUCUCCAACCACAGAUUCUCACAAUUUUGGUUCCCUUUCAAUUUUGAUUGCUACCCAUCUUAGUUUCAAGUAUGUGUUGUUCAAUAUCUUCAAUUGUGUGAGAAAUUAUUUGCUACACAAAUUGACAGAUUUGGUGGACGGUUGGUGUGGGCGUGGGGGUAGGGGCUGCUCAUGGUCCAGAUUUAGGGUUGGGUGUGUUGAGAAGAUUUGGGGAUGGACUAUGAUUGAAAGAAAUCGAAAGGUGCUCCUACACCCAAAAAACCUAGUAGAAUUUGGUGAAUCUGAUAGUAGAGCUUCAAAAAUUAGAUUUCUAUUAUUGGGUUGAGUUAUUGAUAACAGAGAAACAUCAAUUUCUAUGGUUCUUGGUUGUGGGUGGUUCAACGCUCCCAAUCAACAAGAUAACCUUCCUAAGCGAAACAUAAUUAUAUACAUCCUUGAUGAUGGAAUGGAACUGAAGAUCCAAUUGAUGAUAUAGAAAGGCACUAUAGUUUUAUUCUUAAAAAUUCAACAAUUUAUCGAAAAAGGAAAAAAAGUGGAUAAUUGUGGAGGAAAUAAUGGUGUCAGAAGCAAAUGGAGCCCGAUCAACAGUAUCCAACAGAGCACCAAACACAAUAUAACUUGUAUUUAUCUGGAACAGAACAAAACGCCUAAUAAUAUAAUAGAUAAAUGUUAUUACUCUCCGAAACAAAUUACUACUAUUCGACAAAAAUUAAUCAGUACAAUCCAACGUACCAAACAAUCCCAUAGUUUUGGUGGUGGUUUCAACAAGAAAGUGAGUGCGAUUUUGUUUGUAGUUCAUAUGUAAACUUGUUGCGCCUCCAUUUAGUAAAUGUUUAAAAGUAUUUUGACAUACAAAUGUUCGUCAAUCACUUUCAUAUACAAAUGUUUCUCAAUCAUCUAGGUUUUCACCACAAGCGAAACAAAAUUCUCUAAUUUCCAAAAGUAUUUAGAGAAAAUAAUUGAGAAGAAAUAUACCACUACUAGUGAGAAGAAAUAUACCACUACAAAGUUCACCCAGCAUGGAUAUGUUGAAUUGCUAGUGAGAAGAAAUAUACCACUACAAAGUUCACCCAGCAUGGAUAUGUUGAACUGCUAGUGACCCUUUCUAAAGAGGAGCAUGGAUUGUGUGUUUUCUAUUGGAAUGUGUGCGUUAACACUACGUUUAAGGUUAAUCAAUAAUGAGUGAUAGAAGCUGAUAUAAAAACACAAUACUUUUAUAUUUAUUCUUUUCUUUAUGUAGAAGUAUUAUUAUUUUAAUAUCAAAAAUUCUAGGCAACACUUGCAUAUCUCAUUUAAUAUGUUCCAUUUGCAAAAGAAUGACGAGCUCUAUGUUUUGGCUACAAAUGAGAAGCCUCUCUUGUGGUAAAAAAGCUAGAUGAUGUACAAUUUUACUUUAUGCAAUAAUACUUAAACACUUUGUCAAUUAAUACAUUAACACUUGGUCACUUUUUUGUGAUUUUUCUGUGCAAUAAUACUUAAAACGCUUUUGUCACUUAAACUAUUUCAUUACAUUUUGUAACUUUCUCUACUUAGAGAAAGUUGUUCUUAAAGUCCGAGCAUUGGGCAACCUGAGAUCUCAGUAGCAGUUAUUUCUUUAGACUUAAGGAUGCCAUGCUUUGUGGCAAAUUGAAGGAUGUAACCCACCCAAGUAAAAUGAAAAUGGAGAUAAUGGAUAAAGAAAGUCUAGAAGCUGUAAUUGACUCGCUCGGCAAGAGUUUUCAUUCUGAUCUUAUUUGUUCAUGAAUUAUAGCUUCGUGAAAGAAGAAAAGGCUUGAGACUAGGUAAUAAACACUAUUUUGAUUUUUACGACNNNNNNNNNNNNNNNNNNNNNNNNNNNNNNNNNNNNNNNNNNNNNNNNNNNNNNNNNNNNNNNNNNNNNNNNNNNNNNNNNNNNNNNNNNNNNNNNNNNNUUCAGCUUUUCAUCCAUAUUUGUCAUAUAUCAUAAUAGCAGUUACGGAACAUUAGAGUCCGCAUAGUAAAAUAGUAAUAACAAAUAGAGUCAUAAAAUCAAAAAAUUGGUUAUUACCUUGUCUCUAGCCAUUUUUUCUUUCACGAAGCUAUAAUUCAUGACAACAAGAUCAUAAUGAAACUCCUGCCCGAGCGAGUCAAUUACAUCGCCCAGAGUUUCUUUAUCCAUUAUCUCCAUUUUCUUUUUAAUUGGUUGGGUUACAUUCUUCAAUUUGCCACAAAGCAUUGCAUCCUUAAAAUAUGUUCAAUCUAACUCGUCUAAAAAAACAACUGCUACUGAGAUCUCAAGUUGCCCAAUACUCAAACUUUAAGAACAACUUUCUCUAAGUAGAGAAAGUUACAAAAUGUAAUGAAAUAGUUUAAGUGACAAAGUGUAAAGUAUUAUUGCACAGAAAAAUCACAAGAAAGUAACAAAGUGUUUAUGUACUGAUUGAUAAAGUGUUUACGUAUUAUUGCAUAAAGUAAAAUUGUACCUCAUCUAACUUUUUCACCACAAGAAAGGCUUCUCAUUUGUAGCCAAAACAUAGAGCUCAUCAUUCUUUUGCAAAUUGAACAUAUUAAAUGAGAUAUGCAAGUAUUGCCUAGAAUUUUUUAUAUUAAAAUAAUAAUACUUCUACAUAAAGAAAAUAAUAAACAUAAAAGUGUCGUGUUUUAAUAUCAGCUUUUAUCACUCAUUAUUGACUGACCUUAAACGUAGUGUUAAUGCACCCAUUCCAAUAGAAAAUACACAAUCCAUGCUCCUCUUUAGAAAGGGUCUGUAGCAGUUCAACAUAUCCAUGCCGGGUGAGCUUUGUGGUAAGACCUCAAGUUCUUGGCAGUCCCCAUUUUUUCCCUUUCCAGUUUCAGAGAUGCCUGAAUUUGACCCAUUUGUAUGACCACCCUAGUUAUGAUUAAAGUACAUUGAUUAUGUCAUCAUUUAAUCAAUACAUGUGUUAUGAGAGGUCAAACAUAAGUAAGCUCAAAAAUGCUAGAAUUCUACUUUAUUGAUGCUAUGUGAGAUAAGAGAAAUAAAUGUGCAAACCUUGGGAAGAGGAACUUUCUAAGCAUGGAAUAUGGAAUCCUUAAGAGCUUGAAAAUUUCAUGCUCCUCGAAAAUGUCAAAUUCGUGUAUCCUGCAGCCAUUAUGUAUGUUACAAUUGAAAAUCAAAGAAAUAAAUUUUUAGUUCAAACUUAAAAUAAACAAAAACAACCACCUUAAGUUUAAAUUGACAUCAAUCCGAGUAUCAAGUCGAGGGAUUAGCAUCACAGCAUCAUCGAUUCUCCCUUGUUGAUGCUGCUGCUAUCCAACAUAAUUCUACAAUGGAAAAAAGAAUUCUCAACUUCAACUUACACAAAGAAAGAUAAAACCAAAAAUGGUUGCAAGCAAAUCAUUAAGCAUACCAUCCUCAAUUGUGCAGCCACUAGGGUUCUGAGGUCGUUCAUGGUUUUUGCUUUUGAAGUAGAGCCCAACUUGUCCAUCAGCGAGAGAACAUUAGCUGUAACAAAACCAAAUACAAACUGAUAAAAGUUAGCACUGAGUCAGUAUAUUUUUGGUCGAGAAUGAGAAUUUUAUUAGAAGAUUACAAGGGAAACAAACACUAGCAAACAGCCCAAACAAAGGAACAAAAAAAAGGCCAGGAUCAUACCAAUAAAACAAACUAAAACUAGGACUAAAACAAGACAAGGAUGGAUCCAAAUCCAGCUGUGUCUGAUGUUUCUGCCCCCAAUAAAAAAAAAACGAUAUGCAACAUCAGCAGCACUACAAAUAGAAAAGUCAACUACUAAACUCCAAAGACAAGAAGAAAUUAAUUAGCACAGGAGCACUUGAUAUUGAGAGAGAGAGAGAGAGAGAGAGAGAGAGAGAGAGAGAGAGAGAGAAUACCAAUGGCAACAAGAGCACAGGCAUCGCCCUCAAUCUUCUUCUGGUAAUAAAUUAGACUGUAGCGUCCCACAAAUUCAAGUUCUUUGCUGUAUAUUCUCUUUUCCCAGGACGAUGCCAUUGUAUAUUAUUGUUUGUAAAAUAACUAUAAUCCAAAACAAAACAAAAAAACCAAUAAUUAAUCUUCAUUGAUCACAUAAACCAACUACAAAAUGAUGUACAUGCAUUAUCAUUAAAAUAUCAAUAUUAAGUGUCAAAUCAUAAGCUGAUGGUAUGCAUUUAUAUGGUAAACGAUACAACAAACAACAAAAUGAUGUUCGUGCACUUUCAUUAAAAUAUCAAAAUUAAGUGUCAAAUCAUAAGAUGAUGGUAUACAUUUAUAUGGUAAAUAAUACAGCUACAAGAUCACAAACAUUCAAAGAAAAGCACAUAAUUCAAUUUAUUGAGCCAGUCUUGAACUUAAUGCACCUUCUAAACAAUUCUGUAAGAAUCCGUUACAAAUGAAAAUUCUAACGCCCCAAAAAUAUAUAACAUAUCUGUUGCUAGAAAUAGAAAAACUGGUUUUUAGCUUCCAUUUUUUGUACUUCAUAAUGAAGUAGACUAAUAGGCAACAUAGGAAAACAGAUGCACAGAAAGUGAGUAAAUGUGUGUGUGUGUGUGUGUGUGUGUGUGUGUGAGAGAGAGAGAGAGAGAGAGAGAGAGAGAGAGUUCAUUUAAACAGGGAAGUCACAAUUUUCCAAAUACACUUGAAAUCCUUUCCAUUGACCAAAAUGCAGGAAUCAACAUAAACAGACAGACUAAUCGUAUAAAACCAAAAACAUUACAUUUGAUCAGUUUCUUUUCCACUUCACACAUCAAGAUUCCAUAACAAUGUCAAGAUAUGCACGAAACAUAUUCCCAGAAAUAAAAAUGUUUACUUGUACAACUCCUCAGAGCUAAUUACCAACUUGAAAUCACAAAACCCAUUAACAAUAGAUAGAAUGAGUUAAAGAACACCCAUCAUUCAUUCUCCAACAUGAAAUUUUUCUACUUUGAUGCCAUAUACAAGGCAACAUGCAUGACAAACAGCCAAGUAAUUUUCCACGAAAUAAAACAUUAUCAAAAACUGUUGGACGAUCAUACAAAUUCCACAUUUUGUUUUCCAGUUACAGAUUUUCUUCCUUUGACAUAGAAUCUUAACCGACAAUCUUUUCAUACACUCUUUAACUAGGCACCCUCUUUUCUUCAGAAAUAUUUGCCACCAAAAUACCUCCUCAACCAAAUAUCAGGAAAAACACAGAUCCACUUUAUUUUUCUUUACCUUAUUUUCUUAGAAACAAAACAGAGUGCAAAAAGAAGGUUGUUAGGCAAACAUAAAAAAGCCCUAAAAUUUUCACAAAGUUUUCAUGCACAGAAAUGUGACGGAUCUAAAAUUCUAGAGAGAGAAGGUUCAAAAAGGGUUUUAGAGAGAGAGAGAGAGAAAUUAAAAGCACAAGACGCACUGAAACAGAUUUUUGUGAACAUUAUACUCUGAUCUACAUUGCUACGGCAAAAAAAUAGCUUCAAGAGAGAUUACCUGAGGGACAGAGCCGAUCGUUGUCCGAAAAUGACUACUGUAAGCCGGAAACGGCGGGGUUCGUCGCAAUGGAUGGCUCAGGCGACUGAGAAUCACGAGCUCGCCAACAGAGUGAGAGAGAGAGUGUGAGAUUGAGAGUGAAAACGAGAAGAAAUCGAGGACCCCUUUUAUUCCGAGUCAAGCCUGCACACUUCUCUUGGGUCCGGAAUCCAAAUUAUUAUGAACUCUCGUUAAUUGAGGACGUACGUCGAGUUUUUUCUGUUCCGUUGCGCGCCGUGCCCGAAGUAGUCAAGACUGAGAAAUGAGAUAUUUGAUAGGGUACAGCCGCUCACAUGAUAGGCACGUGAUGUUUUUUAAAAACAAUAGGAACCGGCUGUUUUGGGUAACAGGUUAAAAGAAGGAAAACAAAACCACGCGCUCGUUCUUCAACUUGCUCUGAACUGUCGCUCGUCCUACUCCUCUGUAUUGUGGAGCUGGAUAGUCUCGACGGCGCAAACCGGUGGCAGAGGACGGGUCGGACUCGCUUGAAUCGUCUCAGAGCUGCAUCGGCCUUUCGGACCUGCGAUCGUUGUGUCGUCGUGUGAAGAUGCGUUAGAGUUGUUGGGUGGUGCUGCGUUCACGGCAGCAGCGGCGGCGGCGCUGAUAUUGUUGGGAAACGUCAUCGUCGUGGAGGCUUCGACUUCGCCUUCGGCGUUCGUACAAAACGUCAUCUACUCAACAAGAUUGCCAUCUUCUCCAAUUCCUAUUGCCCGUAUGUUAUUAUCUCUCUAUUGCUUGUUCAUUUUGGCUUUUGUGAUAAAUUUAAGGUAUUGGGAUUGGAAAUUCAUAAAGCAAUCAAAUGGAAUUUGAGAAUUGUGAGUUGGUCAAUUUGAUAAUUAUGAGAAAUAUUUAGAGUGUUCAUGUUGAGGAAAAUAUGAAUCCAUCAUCUCAAAUGGGACCUUUUUACUAAUUUAUAGAUUACUUUUCAUUUUCAUGGAUUUAUUGCAUUGUUUUCUAAUUCUGGGAAAUAAAUUGCUGCGUUUCAUCUACUAAAUCUUCAGCUUUCUGUUAUUGAAAUAGUUCGCAAGUUGAGUAGAAAUGUUUAGAAAAAGAACUCUGUGCAUGCCUGUGUGUGAAUUUAAGUAAUGUUGAAAUGAGAGAUUGUGUGCUGUUUUGUGGAUUCUUCUUUGAGGGUCUCUUGCUUGGUGAGAAUUGUAGAGACAGAGAAAGGGAAAGUGGGUAGACAGAGCCAAACUCUCGCCCAGAAGCAGCUCCUCAUCACUUUCACGUGGUACAACAAAAUUUCAGGCCAAAGCUUGACCAUCAACGUUGGGGACAAAGACAAUACCCCAUCACCAUUCAAAUUCAAUUUCAAUUCACAUGCAUCUGGCUGGGAGAUUUUAGUUCCCACGCAUCUGGCUUCUCUUCGUUGUUGUUUCUUUGUUUUUUCUCUCUUAUUUUUUAAUUUAUUUAGAGCAACAAGUUUGGGUUUUGUAAAUUUUUCUUCCUUCAAAUUUUCCCUUGUCCUUUUUUUAAAAUAAAAAUUAAUAUGAGGUUCUCUAAUCUAUUAAAUUAGAUUUUUUUAAUCGUAGCGUAAGAUUUCAUUUUAUUGUAAAAAAAAUUCAUUCAUCUUAGUCAUCAAAGAAAAUAGAGCAUUGAGAUACCAGUUAGAGAAGAAGAAAGAGAAGAAGAAGAAGAAGAUGAAAGAGAGGUUGUGGUGAGGUUCAAUCAGGGGUUUGGGUUUAAUGGUGGUGGAGGUGGUGGUGGGAAAGAUGACGGAGCUACUGCUAGAGGCAGCUUGGUUGGAUUUUGGAUGCAAUUGUUUCCAUUUGGGUACUCUCUUUCAUUUAGCAACUGAUUUGGGGUUCUUCUCACAAAUCUUAGUUCCUUUACAUUUCUGAAAAAAAAAAAACAGGUAGUUUUAUACUAUUUUUGUUUCUAAUAUAAUCAUUUUUAUUUUUGACUCUGACAUCAGCAUGUAGGAUUAUAUCUCUAAUGAAAUUGAUGCCUUUCCACAUCCAGCUCCUUGCAGUGCUUGUAGCAAUUGUUGGUGUGGGUGCUUUUCUGUGGUGGGCAAGGCAGGAUAUGGUUCAAGACAGUGUAAGGCUACUUCUAUUUUUUCUCUUGCUCACUUCUUAAAGCUCAUAGUUUUCUUCAACUGUGGUAUCAAACAUCUAUUGUUGCCUAGUUAAAACACAACCCAAGUUGUUGAGUGCCUUAAGUUCCAUGCUCUCAAUUUAAUUUCCAUGUUGGCACCUACAAGUGACUGGUAAAACCUUUUUAAUUAUUUAUGUCAGGUUCAAUUAUUUUUUUAAAAAAUAUUAGGUCUUACAUGAUGUUUUGGCAUUUGUGGACGGUUAAUUUAUCAAUCUACAGAUCUUCUAGUGGAUAGUGUACCGUGUACCGAAACGCUCUAUGAUUUUCUUUUAUUUGGAGUUGACAAUUAAGUAAUGUGCUCUUGAUUUCAAAAAACUGUAUCACAGGUGGUAUAUAAACAGGUAAUCUGGAUUGGUGUUGGAUAGUUUCCAUGGAUAGGCAUGUAGAAAUCUAUUGUGUUAUAAUGAGUUCAUGCUUUCCCAUGUGAGAUGUAUCAGAUAAAUGCAUGAUAUGUAUAGGAUGUUUGGAAAGGGUUUAAGUACGCAAGUGAUACUCUUUCAUGUAACAAUUCACGAACGCUUCAUCCACAUCUUGUAAUCAAGUAAUGUCAGAGUAACAUCAUGAGGGUGAUUUUCAAUUGUGAAGUUUUAUUUAUUUCUUACUCUGAUGUCUUCUGCUUUUAAUGAACAACAACCAUUGUUCCCAUAAAGUGCCAUAUAGUGAGGACUUGAGAAAAUGGUUAUGCGCCAUAUGUUGUUCCCAUAAAGUGCCAUAUAGUAAGGAUGGAUUUCCCAUAAAGGUUUUCUUAUACUGUGUUGCUCGUGAUCUUCUAAUUGCUCGUGAUCUUCUAAGUGCUAGAUAACUUAGUUCAUUUUGAGUAUUUUUAGUUUUAAAUGUAAUUUUUAUUGUGAUUUAAAUAUCAUGUUACAAUGGAUAGAUUUGCAGGUUGUAUGUAAUUAUAUUUAUUUUAAUUAGUUUGCAAUUUCAAUUUUCAAUUUAUUUUUUAAUAUUUAUUUUAUUAUUAGGUUUAGCUUGGUUUUGCUACUGAAUGAGUUAUGAAGCUUUGCAGAAGUGAAUUAACAUAAAUUAACCAAUGCCCCAUUGGUUAUGUUGGUUGUUGAUUGAUUACAAACAAAACAGAUGGAGGAAAGGGUAAUUGUACACCGCUGUCUAGUUUUUGUAUCAUGGGACGUGCAAUUGCGCAGUCUCUUUAAAGCCUAAACUUGAAUAAAAUUCAUUUUUAAUGACUUCUGUAAACCAGGAUAUGCAAUUGCAUACCAUUUAUGCAAUAGUUGACCCUAUAUAUGCAAUUAUUAUCAUUUGUACAAACAAAUUUCACUCUCGUGCUUUCUCGAAGUAGACAAACUAGUGUAGAUUUAAUAAGCAAGUGAAACUUUUUCAGGUUUUUGGAACUCAAAUGGUUUUCAGGUUCUUAUACUCGAGAUCGAUAUUUUAAUCAUUACCCUUAACAUGGAUAGUGAUGAAUUCAAUUUCUGCUAGACCUGGCAAAUGGAUUUGGGGUCAUGUUCGUGUUAACCCGCUAAUUUAAUGGGUUGACACGACACGACCCGUUAAGCUAACAGGUGAGAAAUACCAGACCCAAACACGACCCAUUAAGAAUAAACUAGGAAAUAUAUAUAUAUAUAUAUAUCCCAAAACGAGCUAGCAACCCCCUAUCUCUGCCCUUUUUCUCCCAAUUUUCAUCUUUCAUAAACACCAUCCAAAAAUCUACAAGUUCAGGAUUAGUCUUGCAUAAUGAUAAAACAAGAGAAGCAAAAUGUUGGUUGAUUAGAUUAUUUAUAUAUAAUUUUAAAAAAAAUAAAGGGAGGGAGAGAAGAAGAGAAGAAAAAAAUGGAGAGAAAAGAAAGAGAUGGAGAGAAUAAGAAGAAGAAGAAGAAAAAAAGGGAGAGAAGAAGAGAAGAAAAAAAAUGGAGGGGAGAGAUGGACAAUUUCCGAAAGGGGAGAAGAACAGGAAAAAAGUGAGAGAUUGAGGGAUGUAGAGAAGAGAAAAAAAGAGAGGGGCAGAUGAGAAAGUCGACGAAGAGAGGAAGUGGAAUGAAGGAAAAAUAAUAUUAAAGAGAGAGAGAGAGAGAGAGAGAGAGAGAGAGAGAGAGAGAGAGAGAGAGAGAGAGAGAGAGAAGGAAAAUAAGAAAGAAUUUUUUUUUUUUUUUUUAAGGCAUGAUGUUGGGGAUAUGAGAUAUUUAAAAAAAUACAGAAUUACUCUCCUUAACGGGUGGAUGCAAUAUUCGCAAAUUGACCCGACACGACUCGUUAGCUUAAUGGGUUCACUUGUUUUCAACCCGACCCAUUAAGUUCAACCCAAAUAUUGAUAAUUUGAUGCGAAUUCGUGUCAUGUUAACGGGUCGUGUGCAAUAUUGCCGGGUCUAAUUUCUGCACCUCACAAAGGUAAGGUCAAGGAUUAAAAUAUCGGCCGUGCAGAUAAUAUAGGGCCUCCAAUUUACAGAAAUUUCGAGGAAUAUAUCGUUAUCGUUUUAGGUAUCGAGAAAAAAUCAACAAAAAUGACAAAUAUAAGCAUUGAAAUACGUAAUUUUGGUGUAAAAUGUUCAUAAAUGUUAUGUACAUUAUCAAUGAUUGUAUUAAAAAUUAGGAUUAACCGAACUAGUAGGCAGGGGCGGCCCUGGCAUGAUGCAAGUGGUGCCACUGCAUAGGGCUCCUGAUUUUUUAGGACCUCCGAAUUUCUUUUACUUUAUAUAAUAUAUAUUAAUAUUAUAACAACUGUAUAUAUACUCCAACGUGCCGCACAUUGACACAAAAUUUUAUUUAGUGGAUUUGGUUUCUAGUGCAUAUCCUUUGGUACAAGGUCUAGGUUUGAGUCUUAGUUAUGUGAAUAUAUUUGUAAUUUUAUUCUCUUUUUAUUAUAAGAACAAAUUUUAAAUAGUUUUAAAAAAGAAGCACGUGAAAAAUAUAAGGGGAAAUAUCCAAUUAAAUUAACAAUAGUAUAUAUCACACCCAUACGCUUUUUCUUUAAAAAAUAAUAAUAAUAAUUUCUUCGACUCAAAACAAAACAAAACAACAUAAAAAAUAAAAAAAUCAUGUCUUCUUCUUUCUCAUGAACUCUUAUUUUUUCUUCCCGAACAUACCAAAAUUUAACUUUAUCAAAUGAAUGCAACAUACUCAACGAACGUAACCCUUGUGUUCGCGUGAAAAAAUAGUGCGUUUGUUUGAAAAAGAAAGUUAGUGGGGUCCAUUUUCCCAAGAAACGGGCAAUUUUACUCUACGAACGCACUCCUUGCGUUCGCAUGAAUAAAUAUCCCGUUUGUUUGAAAAAGUAAGUUCAUUUGGCCCUUUUCUUGGGGGAACGGGCAACUUUAAUCAACGAACGCAACCCCAGCGUUCGCGUGAACAAAUAGCCCGUUUGUUAAGUUAGUUGGGCCCAUUUUUCCGGAGAAUUGGCAACUUUACUCAACAGACGCAACCUCUGUGUUUACGUGAACAAAUACCCCGUUUAUUUGAAAAAUUAAGUUAGUUUGGUCCAUUUUUCCGGGAAAUGGGUAACUUUACUUAACAAACGCAACCCCUGCGUUCGCGUGAACAAAUAGCCCGUUUGUUUGAAAAAGUAAGGUAGUUGGGCCUAUUUUUUCAGGGAACGGACAACUUUACUCAACGAACGCAACUAAUUGCGUUCGCGUGAACAAAAAGCUCAUUUGUUUGAAAAAGUGAGUUAGUUGGGCCAAUUUUUUUGGAGAACGAGCAACUUUACUCAACGAACGCAACCCUUGCGUUUACAUGAACAAAUAGCCCGUUUGUUUGAAAAAGUAAGUUAGUUUGACCAUUUUUCCGGGGAACGGGGAACUUUACUCAACGAACGCAACCCCUGCAUUCGCAUAAACAAAUAGCCCGUUUGUUUGAAAAGUAAGUUAGUUUGGCCAUUUUUCCGGGGAACGAGGAACUUUACUCAAUGAACGCAACCCCUGCAUUCGCGUGAACAAAUAGCCUGUUUUCUUAAAAAAGUUAGUUAGGCCCAUUUUUCCAGGGAAUAGACAACUUUACUCAACGAACGCAACCUAUUGCGUUCGCGUGAACAAAUAGCCCGUUUGUUUGAAAAAGUAAGUUAGUUGGACCCAUUUUUUCUAAAAACGAAUAACUUUACUCAAUGAACGCAACCUCUGCGUUUAUGUGAACAAAUAACCCGUUCGUUUGAAAAAAUAAGUUAGUUUGGCCUAUUUUUCCGGAAACAGGCAACUUUACUCAACGAACACAACCCCUGCGUUCGCAUGAACAAAUAGCCCAUUUGUUUGAAAAAGUAAGUUAGUUGGGCCCAUUUUUCAGGGGAUCAGACAACUUUACUCAACGAAUACAACCCAUUGCGUUCGCGUCAACAAAUAACCCGUUUGUUUGAAAAAGUAAGUUAGUUGGGCCCAUUUCUAUAGGGAACGGACAACUUUACUCAAUAAACACAACAUAUUGCGUUCGCGUCAACUAAUAGCCUGUUUGUUUGAAAAAGUAAGUUAGUUGGGCCAAUUUUUCCGAGGAACGAGCACCUUUCCUCAACGAACGCAACCCCUGCAUUUACGUGAACAAAUAGCCCGUUUAUUUGAAAAAGUAAGUUAGUUUAGCCCAUUUUUCCUGGGAACGGGCAACUUCACUCAACGAACGCAACCCCUGCGUUUACGUGAACAAAUAGCCCAUUUGUUUGAAAAAUAAGUUAAUUUGGCCCAUUUUUUCGAAGAACAGGCAACUUUACUCAACGAACGUAACCCCUGCGUUUACCUGAACAAAUAGCCUGUUUGUUUGAAAAAGUAAGUUAGUUGAGCUCAUUUUUCCAGGAAUGGACAACUUUACUCAACGAACGCAACCCAUUGCGUUUGCAUCAACAAAUAGCCCGUUUGUUUAAAAAAGUAAGUUAGUUGGGCCAAUUUUUCCGAGGAACAAGUAACUUUACUCAACGAACGCAACCCUUGCAUUCACGUGAACAAAUAGCCCGUUUGUUUGAUAAAGUAAGUUAGUUAGGUCUAUUUUUCCGGGGAACGGGUAACUUUGCUCAACGAACACAACCCUUGCUUUUGUGUGAACAAAUAGUCUGUUUGUUUGAAAAAGUAAGUUAGUUGAGCCCAUUUUUCCAGGAAUGGGAAUCUUUAAUCAAUGAACGCAACCCUUGGGUACAAGUUCAAGGAUUAAAUCAACAAUUUAGCCAUGUUUAAUGGUUUUUGGGCAUAUAUCGCAUAUUUGAUAGCACAUGUGUGCAAUUCUCAGUAAAUAAUAUGCAUUUGCAUAUACCUGUAUGCAAUUUUGUAGCAUCUAUGUGCAAUUCUUAUUUUACAAUAUGCAAUUGCAUAUAUAGUAUGCAAUUUCGUAACGUCUGUUUGCAAUUCUUAAUUUACAAUAUGCAAUUGGAUUCUGCCCUUCUUUUGGUCUUUAACUUUGUCAUUUUUACUAGAAGGCUGAUCGGCUCACACUCUUAUAAUGUAUGUAAAUAUCACCAAAUUUCCUCUUUUUGGCUAGAGGGCCUCUUUUUUGUGUGUGUUCAUUUGCAAUGACAAUACAGAUAAUCUACUACUACCUAAAAGCUAUAGAAAAUUAAAUGUCAUAUCAUCUAUUUUCUCUAACCAAGACUACAUGUCACAUAAAUAAGAAAUAAGAUCUCAAAAAAGAAACAGAAACAAAGAAAACACUUUACCUAAAAUAUUUUGUAAUACGGUAGAGUACACAAAUGUUAGCCCCUAACUAUGAUAAUUGUUAUCAAUAAAUACAAAGAUGAAUUUAAAUUAGUUCUUCCAUUUGUUUUAAAUUCUUUUCAAUAUGGUCAACUAUGAUAAUUGAUUUAUUUUUAUAAAGGUCAUCAAUGAAUACAAUAGAACAUAUGUUACCAAAUUAUUGAAAAAAAGAACUUUUAAAAUCAAUUAAAAGUGAAUAGAAAGAAAAGUAUAAAUAAAAGGUAUACAAAGGUAUCCUUUUAAAAGUUAAUAUUUUCAUUCUACACAACUCAAGACCACUUGCGCCACACGUUAUAUUUUGCUAUAUUAAUUGUCAUAUUAUUGUUUCAUAUAAACACAAGCCCAUAUAAACACCAAUUCUUAAGCCCAAAGGGUUAGCUAAAUGGUAAGGUUAGGUGGUGUAAUAUAUUAGAAUUACGGUUCAUCAAAAGGUCAAAUUUGCUUCCAUUAUUAAGAACAGAAUAAAUAUAAAAUUACUUUGGUUUCUCAAACAGAUUUUCCUUUCACAGAGAGUAACGCAAAGCUUGGCAGCACCCCUCAGAAGACACAAUCAAAUAAUAAAAACAGAUUUGUAUUUCACCUAAGCAACUCAUGAUUUUGGCACAAAGACAAAUUAUCCAGUACAAAUUUCCUUAAUUUGUUUUUUCACAUGUAUCCAUAUUCCUUUUCAGUAGCCAAUGCAGUGAUGCGAACCUUCCUUGCAAUUUGUGCGCCUACAAUAGGAAAAAUGGAAAAAAUUAGACGCAAGAGAAAUCGUAAAAUUGCACAAUCUACAAAUUUGAACAGCAAGAAAGAAAAAAACAGUAAUUAGAAUGAACUACAACAACCAAAUAAUGAGAGAACCUCAAAAUACAACCAAUCAAAUUCUAUAAUGACAAUUACCCAAAUUGAAGUAAAUAAUUAAAGUUUCAGAAUUCUAAUAGUGCAACUAAAAAAGAAAAUUAUCGCUUUUCUUUUAUUUAAAAAAAAAACACAUUACAAUCAUGAAGCAUGAAACUUAAACUGAAUACAGAACAGGAAAGAAAAAAAUUGCAACCAAAUGUUCCUAUUAUAGGAAAAGGGACUAAUAUAGGAGUUCAAUUGGGAAAAUGGAAAUAUUAGAAGCCUUUAAGGCUUUUUAUACAAAGAGAAAACAGAUAUCACACAAAAACAUUAACAAAUUUCAUACGGCAACUCUGUACUUAAACUAACUCUUUACCCAAAAAAGGAAAAGAAAAGAAAAAGUAGAGCUAUACUAAUUAUUUCUCCCCUAAAAAGACAAUCAUCUGCUAUUUCGUGGAAUUUGCAUGUUUGUCUGCUAAACAUGUUUUGUUCUCACAACCUGUUGUGUGUAAUCUAACUGCUGGUUGCCUGUGAAGAUCCUUUAACUUCGUCAACAAUUUCCUCCUGGUUGUGUCCUCCUCCUUUACAAAUAAUAGUAAUGUAUAUACCUUAAAUGCUUCACAGCUUUAUCUCUUAAUUGUUCCCCUCUGAAAUUUGUUGACUUCAUCCAUUAUGCACAACAAAACAGAAUAGAUAGUUUAAAGAACAAAACUAAUAUCAACUAAUGAAAACAGGAAAAGUGGCUGAAUUUAUGUUCUAUUGCCAAAUCACAUACCAAAUGUAUGCUUCGUAAUAAACCAAAAUGAAGCUAUUGAUCUGGCAAACAGAUAAAUAAGUUUAAACAAACAAACAAAGGCAUAGUCACCCAAAGACUCAAUCUUUGGGUUCAAAUACUAAAACAAUUUAUUCAACAUAUAAAGAUGAUAUAACUUGGAUUAAAUAUCAUCCAAUUUGUUUCUUUCUUAGAAGAUCUGCAUUAGAAGGUCAGAGCGUUUUCAGUCAAAAGAAAAGGGAAUUUCAUAGAAAGUUGAAAUAGAAGUAACUCAAAGAAAGCAUUUUCUUCACCUAACUGUUUCUAACCCUUCAACUCCUCUGCCAAAAGAAUCCCCUGAGAAAACAAAAGAAGAACAAAAAUCAAAGCCUAACCUGGACACAACUCUAAAUAAAUGAAUUAAUGAGAAAAGCAGAGAUGAAGAGGAGAGCACCGAAAAACUGCAAGCAACUAAAAUGAACUGCUGAUUAUGAAUAUAACAAAGCUUCUUGAAGCAGACCCAUCUAAGCUUAUAAUCUGCAGUGGAAAAGAGAAUGAGAAGAAUGCCCAAGCAAGCAUCCAUCCCAGUACCCUUACAUGGAAAAAAAAAAUUCCAUGAUUCAGAAUUCUGUAAUAGAAAUUGACACAUUAAAUCUAACACAAAUAACAUGUUAUCUAAAAUCCAAACAAAUUAACACUCGAAAAGCAAAAAUACCACUCGACAUUCCAAAUGUCAUCUAUGAAUGGCACAUAACUUGUCCCUCUCAAUGUCAGUACACAAUCAAAAACUGGAAGUACCGUGUUAUUUGGAGUGUAACGCCAAAAAAGUGGCCUGAAAACGGAGUCUUACUCCGUGGUCAUGAUAUCCAGCUUCUUUCCAGUCGGAUUCUUUGUGUAAAGGACAAUUGCCAUUUUCUGAAUAAGCACUUGAUGUAAUCAGAGAAAUCCAACUCAAAGGUUGCAAAGAUUCAUGACCAAUGAUGUGCGAUAACUGGUAUAAAACUAUGAAUAGCACACAAUAAACAACAGAAAGAAGAAACCUUGAUACAAUUAACAUGACUAUUGCAAAUUCAAAAAGAAAUAAAUGACCAAAACUCUGCUGCACAAUUCUCUCCACUAGCGUAGAGGCUUCUUGAACAAAAAAAAUUGUGCAGCAACUCGUGAGAAACUCACCACCACCAUUGUCUCGAAUGCCCAUAUGGUAGCCAAGAUCAAAAUCAAGAAGUGCAGUACCACCAUUGCAUACCCAACAUGAGUGUGACAUUUCAGCAAACAAAUGGAGAGCAUGUGGUGAUAUGCCAGAUGUAUCAACCCCAAAACCCAAUUGCUUCCAAGCUUCUUGAUCAAGAUUCUUCAAAGACAAAAACCGAGUAAUCUUCUGAAUUGAACUGAUGGAAAAAGAAGACAACUAAGCAGGCAAACCUUGCGUGGAUGGUGAUUCCGGAAUCGGCGAUGUCCGAUGACUGUUGCAUCUCAGCGUCGGCAGAGGUGAGACGCCCAGAUUCUGAUUUGGGGACAUAGAUGAGGAUUGGAUUUCCAAGAGAGAGAGAUCGAUCGCAGAGAUAAGCAGGUCCAGUGCACGCCAGGGCUUCCGCGCGUUCGUUGAAGCUUUUCACUUGUUUUCUCAGUCACGUGUAUGUCACGUGAUAUUUAAUAACAAAGGGCUCAACAAGUCUUCAGGUCAUUCAAUCUCAGCCCUUCAUUUUUAAGAUGCAAUACUGACCCUUGGAUAACUGGCUGCACCGGUACAGCUGAGGCACCGCAGAAUUUUCCUUUUUAUGCCGAUAUUUUUAUUUUUAUUUUUGAGACUAUCCUUUUUUUCUUUUUCUGUUUUUUUUUUUUCAAAAGUUGAGACGAUCCUUUUGAUAGUAUAUUUUGUUUUAUUGUUUUAUUUUCCGAAAAAUUAGCAGAUAUGACACUACUAGUGACAGUGUAACCCAACGAAUUUUUCAUAAACAUGUCCAUCAUCACUUGUUACAACUUGACAACCACUUCCCUAAACCCUAUAAAUCCUUUUGACAGAAAAAAAAAAAACAUAUAAAUACUCACAUGGCCACGCUGUCAGAGUUUUUGCAGCUCAUGCUAAUCAAAUCUUUUUAUAUUGAUUAUGGUGCGCUUGGGGGUUGUGGAAGGAAUUCAUUGCAAUCACCAUCACCAGCAAUUCCAAAACCCCAAUAACCAAGAUUCAAGCCAAACAAAACAUGGAAUAUAAUGAUGCGCUAUUCGAGAUGCUCCUGGAAAAUAACACAAGCUCUAUAUUCAUGUUGUCGGAAGAGUGAACCCUCAUGCCAGAUCAAGCUAUAUCUUGAUUCAACUCAACCAUUAGAUUAUCCAAAUCCAAACUAAUCAUGCCAAGCCAAAUCACAUUUUUCCAGCACCUAUUCCAUGCCAAACAAAACAUCCUUCCAGACAUGCCAUGUUUCAAAUAUCCUUCCAGCACAUGCCUUAUUUCAAACAUUCUUCCAGCACAUGCCCUAUUUCAAAUAUCCUUCCAGCACAUACCCUAUUUCAAACAUCAUUCCAGCAAAUGCCCUGUUUCAAAUAUCCUUCAAGCACAUGCCCUGUUUCAAAUACCCUUCCAGCACAUGCCCUAUUUCAAAUACCCUUCCAGCACAUGCCCUAUUUCAAGCAUUCUUCCAAUAUCUAGCCAUCAUGUCGCACGCUAUCACCUUUACUGAGGUUUUGUCUACCAAAUUCAAGUGUUCUGGAGCUGGUGAUGUAAACUCAAUACAAGCCAAAGCCAAGCAAUACUAAGCAUACAUGCCCAUGCCAUGCAUCCAAGCAUACAUGCCAAUGCCAAGCAUCCAAGUAUACAAGCCAAUGCCAAGCAUACAUGCCAAUGCCAAGCAUCCAAGCAUACAAUCCAAAAUCAAGCAUACAUGCCAAUGCCAAGCAUCAAGCCAAAUACCAAGAAUACAUGCCAACAUCAAGCGUGCAAAUCAAUGCAACUCUUGCAAAUCACAACCAUGCAAAAUCAAGCCUCUCUAGUCACUCAAGCAAAUAAAUGAUGCAAGCUAAGUUAUUUUGAGCUAAUCCACCAAGCAUCUUCUUCUUUGUCAUGCCACAAAAUAGGCCAACUCUUGGUAACUCUAGUAAGUGACCACCAAAAUUACAGUGUCUAGGAAAAUUCUUCAGGGCAACACCCUCUAUGUUUAAGAAGGAUUGGGUUUUAAGCGGGACCAUUGCGACCCCUCCAACCUUCUUGGAAAAAACCUGGCUGUAAUUUCAGAGACACUUAACUAGUCAUCCUUGAGUUGUUCCUAAACUCAUGCCACUGCCAUUUAUUUUGGGCUGGAAAUUGAUUAUUUGGACCAUUUCAAUACACAUUCACGGCCCUAAUAAUCAAGGGGGCUAAUGUUGAGACCCAAAAAAUUCAAGGCUAUGCCCAAAUAUAUUCUUGAUCCAAUGCGAUACCUUACCGAAAAGAAACCCAAUUUGGGCAUGCGAAAGUUCGUCAUAUACGCUUGCACACAUGCCACGCCAAGCAAAUAAGCAACACGCCAUGCUACAAGCUUAAGUGGGCCCAAGCCACACGAAUACCUGAGGCUUGUUGAGCGGGUUGUUGUCACAUCCCGGAAUCGGCUCCGCCGUAGCACGAUAUUGUCUGCUUUGGGCCCCCCUCACUGCCCGCACGAUUUUGUUUCUGGGAGCUCACGAGCAACUUCCCAGUGGGUCACCCAUCCUGGGAUUGCUCUAGCCCCCAACUCGCUUAACUUCGGAGUUCCUACGACUUCGAAGCCAGUGAGCUCCCAAAAGGCCUCGUGCUAGAUGGAUGCGGGUGUGCACAUAUAAGGCAUAUCACCUCCUCUCCGUUGGUUGAUGUGGGAUCUUACAGUUGUGGUAUGGAUGGUUACAAGUAUUCAAGCGGCCCAUUGAUGGUCCAAGGAGUAGAAGUUUUGGGCUACUUGGGAGCACUAAAACUCAAGCCCGUUCCUUGAGCCCAAACAUAUGGGUAAGCAUGAGAGAAAACCUAGUAGCCCAUCACCUUAAGAAAACCUAAUAGUCCAUAACACGUGAGAAAAUCCUACAUCAGCCAAAGCUUCUAGCAGUCUGACGAAAGAAAAGGGAACUCACAAGCCGCUGGAAACAAAACAACCCAGCCGAGCACCUUAUAAAAUAUCCAACGUCAUGCAUCCCUGUUAAAACCAGAUCAAAGCCAAACCAUCAAAACCAAGCAAACCCAUGUGCUGAUCACCUUUUUUUACUAGCACCCUUAGCCAUUCUUUCCUCUUCAAGCUUUGGUUAGAAAUCAAGAAGCAAAAGUGGGUGGCACCUCACCCACAUGGAGGAGUCCAGUUGCCUGAGGACCUUGGAACCCCAAAAAGCUGCGUGCCUAUGGGUUCAUGCUAGGGAAAUUUCACCAAACAAGAUUAAAUGGAAGAAAGUGAAGAAAAGAGGGAGGGAGGCUUGACAAAAUUAAGGUUUCCAGCGCCUAUAAAAGGAGUCACUUCCUACCUAGCAAAGGAACUCACCUUGGUUGCUACAAGCCUCCCAGCAACCAUGAGAAUUCAUCAAAGGCAAGCAUCCCCUCUGGAACCCUUCAAUUUGAUGCUUUGUUCUUCCAUCUUCCUCCUUUCUCUCUCUCAAAACCCACAUCCAGAGAGAGCAAGCAUCAUCUCUCAUCUCUGGAUCCCUUUGAUUUCAAGCCUUGUUCUUCCAUUGCUUCCCAUUUUCUCUUCUAUCAAAUCACCCAGGAGCCUGACGAAGCUUUCGUCAAGCUACUGGAAAUAUGCUAAAGCCACCCAUGCUUCCAUCUUCUUCCUCUCUUUCCAUAAACACACAUCCAGAGAGCAAACAUCAUCUCUCAUCCCUAAAACCCCUGCAAUUUCGAGCCAUAUUCCUCCAUCUCCUCCCAUCUUCUCUUCUGAAAAUCGCAGCUCUUUCUCUCUCUCAUGCUAAACUCAUAAAUACUCAGCUCACAUGCCACAAGCUUCUCAUGCCAAGCCAAGAAUCUAUCUGUAAACGACUGUUGGUUUCAUUGAUGAAGAAGACCAAGGUGUUUCCUAAGGCUCAGCUACCAUUUCGAAACACUCUUGGGGUCUAAUCCUUGAACUCAGACUCAAGGAGCAAUUUCACACAUUUGACUAUUUACAGUAGCCCAGGGCCAUCAGUAGCUGCCAGAACGAAAAAGCCCCCUACACAUUUAUUUUAACCCUUCGCCUAAGUCACAUUACAACCAUAUUAUUAAGAACCUUUUUUUUUUUUUUUUGGGCUUUAAAAAGGCUCUUUUUUUUACUAAUAAAUUCACUGACAUAUAAGUUUUUUUUUUUUUUUUUUUUGAUAAGGAAAAGAAUAAUUACAAGACAAAGCCUCGCCGGCAAGAACUGACAUAUAAGCUAAGCGCCUAGUAUCUAAACUAUUCUUCUAUUAGUACAUCCACGUACCUCAUAUGGCCUAUACAGACUAGACGCUGUUCACAGAAUUUUGGUCAAUACAUAUCAAAGUACUUUUUUUUUGGGCCCGGAAUACCUAUCAAAAUACUUAUACACAAACACCCAGUGAAAUGCAAAAAGAGCAUAUAGGCCCUCACAAAUUUCAAUCCUCAAGCAGGCAUCAUGUGACACAUUUUUCCCCUCAAGUGGUGGUGUAAGCCGCAGCCUUUUUGCAGUCGGUUGCUCUUGAGGCUCAGGCAUCCGAUCAUCAUCGAACAUUUGCAUAUCAUCACAUGAGAUUGUCCUGUUGUCUACCAUAUUAGAGUCUUGAUGCGUUGGUAUAUCAGGAUUUUCUUGGCAGGAAGAAAGUGGAGCUUCAUUUUCAUUGCAAUCAUGCACCUUAACACGAUCUCGAGAACCUUCAUUUUCAUUCCCAUCAGGCACCUUAUCACAAUCUCGAGAUUAUGAACCUCAUUGUGGUCUUGAGAACCUCCAUUUUAAUUGCCAUCAUGCACCUUAUCAGGGUCUCAAGAACCUCCAUUUCCAUUGCCAUCAUGCACCUUAUCAUGCUCUUGAGAACUUCCCUUUCCAUUGCCCUCAUGUACCUAAUCAAGGUCUUAAGAACCUCCAUAUCCAUUGUUAUAAUGCACCUUAUCAUGGUCUUGAGAACCUCCACUUUUAUUGCCAUCAUGCACCUUAUCAUGGUCUUGAGAACCUUCAAUAAUGGAAGCAUCCGGAUUGCCUGGAGCAAAAACAAGGCCAUCUGUUAAACAUGUGACAUUUUCCAUUUCUUAUUUCUGGCUCAGACCCAAAUCUUCCUCCCCAAGUGGAUGGUUUUCCAUGUUUCCAUUUUCUUCCCUUGCAGAUAUUCCCAAGUCAUAGGAAGUCUCAGCUCCAUAAGCUCUUGAUGUGUACGGAAUGCCACAAGUUUGAGAUGUGAUUCUAGUUAUUUGCUGAAAACCAGAGUCUCAUGUAGGCGAAAAAGCAAAUGCUCUUCAUUUUCUAUUGGUGGUAUAGCCUCCAUUAAGAAGGUAAAAAGAUGACUUUUGGUCAAAUGAUUGAUAUUGUCCAAAUAGUGAGCCAGCGGUGGCUCCUGGCUCAAAAAAUUCCCUGAGAACCAAGCCUGCAUUACCAACACACUCAGAGUCAGAGCUCCCAAGAGAAGAUGUGGAUAACAGAGUAAUUUCAAUCCCCUGGCCUGCUUGAGAAUUAGAUAUAUUUUCUUGGCAAGCUAUAGCUAGACCACAUCUUCCUGAAAAUGACUGCACACCAGUUUCAUGCUCAUUGCAUUCCAGAAAUUUAGCCUGGUCUUCAUCACUGGAAGCUGCUGAAGAGUCUUCCCCCGAUAACAAUUUUCAAGGAGCUCAAAAAUUAACCUCUGGAUAAGAGUACGCUUGAGAGAAGCCUCAGAAGGAAGAAACCAAUCUGGAUUAAGGAAGUUGGAGAACUUGGUUAUUUUGAAAGGACUGAAAUAUACAUGAGCUUCUACCAGAAACAGCUCCAGAUAGUGGAGCAAAAACAGGCCACAAUCGAAUGAAUUUUUCCUGUUGCGGUAACUCAUCAGUGAAUUAAAGCUUCAUGUCCAUUUCUUCAGUGGGACAAACCAAGUUAUAUAAGACAGCAGCACCAUGAUUGGUUGAAGGGAUUAAUCAUGCAACCACUGGGUCUGGAUGACUUUCUAUCACAUCUUUUGUUUAUACUGAAAUAGACAAUGCACACACACACAUGCACACAAAAUUGUGUGUCUCAACCAAAAAGGGUUAUGCAUUUACAAAAGAAAUGAGAGUUUUUUUUUCUUCUAAUAAGAUAAAUUUAUUCAAGGAAACGAGAGUAUACAAAAGGAACACUAUAUCUAAAACUCAUACAUUUAUAAUCAACUGUAAUUGUAAUCAUUCUGUCAACCAAAGGGAAUCUACAAUUGAAUUGACGCUGAAAAAUUUCUUAUAGCCAAUAUUUUGUCCAAGGGAUCUUGUAACAAAUUUAGUAUACAAAUUAUUAAGACCUUUAGAUCUUUGGUGCUGUACGGUUUUCCUGUAGAGAUUUGAUAUGAAGAGCGAGUUUAUGGGGUUUGAUUUUGUUUUCAUGCAUUCAUUUUUCUUGAGUGAAACACUUAACUCAAAUUUUGAGUGCUUUCUUUGUGAGUGACAUUCCGGGUGAGAUUUGCAGUUGAAGCUUUAUUUUGCAUAUACCUGUCCGUAUUGAGUAAGUUGUAUUGGCUAUUUCACAUACUACACGUGAGAAUGUUAUGUGCGGUUUUGUUAACUCCUGAAUCAUGCUUAGAAUUCAUAAGUUGGUUAUUUGAUUCUUUAGAAUUAUAUAUACAUUGUGCAAUUUGUUGAGACUGAUAUGUGAAAGCCCUAAAAUUCUUUUGAGUACAAGUUUUGUUUUAUUUUGCUCGAGGGCUAGCAAAAUCUGAGUUUGGGAAUAGUUGAUAAGCUCAUGAUUAUAUAUCAUUUGAAUACUCUUAUUCUUAGUUUCUCUUAUUUAUUAGUUAUUUACCUUGUUUCUUCUUUUGUAGGUAAAUAUAAACAAUGAAAUUGUAAUUGAUACUUGGGUAAAGGGGGUAAACUAAAACUCCAAUGGAUAGAACAGACAACAAGGGGUUCCUAAUCAAUAUGUCUAGCUAGGCCUCUUGGCCAAGGCUAGGAGGAUGCCUUAGUUUAAUUAUUUGUGUUAUUGAAUGUUGAGUUUUUGAUCUAAUGAGUUGUGUUGAUAAAUUUAUAAUCUCUACUUAAAUUUAUUCUAAAUGUUGAAUUCUUUUGAUUGGCCAUCUUUAGGGUUUGCAUGUAGAUGAUAAGAUGGAUGCAUGUGGACCUAAUAAGUUGCAUAUUUCAAAGCUUUUUGGGAGUAUGAAUUGUGAAUAACUUGAUGCUCUAAUUAAGAUUAAGACUUUAUAUGGUUCCCUGUUUCCAUAAAAUUAAUGAAUCUCAUGUGUUUAAUGUAUGCCAUAAUACGGAUAAAUUACAUAGUGAGAUAAUGAUAUAUUGCAUGGGAGUUCACAAUAAAAUUGUCGUGCCGUGAGAUUCCGUCAAAAUUUCUAUUAGAUAUUGAUGACAUGGCAUGUAUGUGGAGUCCCCAUGUCCAAUAAUUACAUGCCACGUGGAUUUGAAUAAAAAAAUUAUGUUUUGAAAAAUGCUUAAGAAAUUAAAAUUCAUUAAAAAAAAAAACAUAACUAAAUUUAAACCUAAGAAUUAUUUUUUUAAUGAAUUUUAAUCUCUUAAUUUUUUUUAAUAUAAAUUUUUAUUCAAAUUCACAUGACAUAUUAUUAUUAGACAUGUGGGCUCUAUAUACAUGCCAUGCUAUUUAAUGGAAGUUUUGAUGGAAUCUCACGGCACGACAAUUUUGAUGUGUCGUGUGUAACAUAAAGUACCAAUAAUAUCACACACAAAAACAUAAAAAAUCAAAAGUGAUAAUUUCAAAAACCUUAAGGACCAUUUGUGAUAAAAAUCCUAAACAUUAUUGUAUAUGCAAGGGAAGAAUGUACAAGUUGAGUAAAAUCUCUAUAAUAAAAUAUUGUUGGUGGCCCUUUCACAAUAAAGGGAAGGUAGAGCAAAAUGUGGGGAUUGCACUCUAGUAAAAAAGAGAAUGUGCGUAAAGUGUUUAGUACUCAAACUAGACUAUAUAUGUAUGGGUUUAAAAGGGUAUUGAACACCCCCACCCCUUUUUCCUCCUAUCUCCUAGGCUUCUUAUUCUAAGCAGUCCACCACUUAAAACACUUUGAAAGAUUAUUAAUUAAAGGAUGAGAUAUUACCAUGAUUUAUAAAUCAAAAGGAAUUUCAUUAUGAAAAAAAAAUUCUGAUAAUGUAUAAAUUGAAUGGUUAUACAAUACAAUGCAUGACUACAAGCAAGUGAUUCACUGUGUAAUUACUAUUGAAGAAGGUGAUAAUAAUGAAUAUGUUUAGGCAAAGUGGAAAGUGAAAUAGUAUUCAAGGAAAUGUGAAGAGGGUUUCCACCAGCUUCUUCAAGCAAGACUAAAAGAUUUUCCGAGGUUUUAAAGAAGGAUCGAGGAACGUGGUACCUAAGAAACAUAAAAAUCAAUGAUAAAAAUUAAUAAUAAGUGCUAACUAUAAAAAUAUAGUGCGCAUGAAAACCCAGAUUUCUGCAACAUGGAGCUCAUUGAUGAAACAUAUGCUUUGUGGACAAAGAAUUCUCACAACAUGAAAUUACAACACCAAAAAACUACGUGGACGAAAGUGAACAUUCAUAUUCAAUAAAGGAUCACUAUAUAUAAAGUGUCAUUGAUACUUACAUUAUUUGUGAAGGCUCUCUCUUUGAAGUAAGAAAUGAAACCCAGUAACGACCAAUACUUUGCCCAUUAAUCCAAGCUUCGCCCUUACCCAUUGAGCUAAGGUUUAAGGCGACAGGAUCAUUUCCAUUAGGUGCGUCGAAAAAAGUCUGCAAAUCAAUGUUUUAGAUGUAUAGUAAUGAAUAUGAGUUGCACAAAAACAUUCGAAGUAUGUUAAUUUUUAUACAUCUAUCGAUGUUUCACUUAAAAAGUGCAAUUAUAUUAUUACUCUCUUCUCCUAUCUAAAUUAAAAGUUCAUUAAAAAUUCAAAAAGUAAGAGGUGAGAGAGGGUUGUGGGCCUAGGGAGAGCAAAGAGGGAGAAAUUGAGAACCCUUAAUUCUCUCUCCUCCUCUAAAUGUAAAGAGCCACCAAAUUCAAAUAGAGAGUUCUCCAAAAUAGAGAGUCAGAUAACAAGUCUCCUAGAGUUGCGUUUUGCCCUAAUUCUAGCCAAAAUGACUAAGAAUCAGAGCAUAGCAACUCUGCUGGAGAUAAAGAAACACGUAAUCCCAAGAAUUUAUAUUUAAUUAUAAUUGCUUUGAUCUUCUAUAUUUAAUUAUAAAUUUCUAUCACAUACCUUGUACCAAGUAAGUGGUUGAUUAAGAGAGGUGUUAGCUUUACUCCAUUCAACCAUGUGUAUAUUUUCUUCUCUAUAUAUCUGCAAUUUUUCUCCAAAUAGUCCAACCUGUAAAGAUUUCAUCAAAUACAACAAUAAAUUUAUUUUUAUUUUAUUUUAUAAAAAAGCAACAUUUAAUCAUAUUUACUAUAUAAUAAAAUAAAAAAAAUUAAGCUUAAAAAUGAUGUACAAGCUUUGUAGUCUUUGAAGAUUUACCUGAUAUCCCCAAGCAUAAUUAGUAAAGUUGUAAAACUCAUUCUUGCUACAUUGAAUUUCAACUCUGGUUAAGCCACUAAAUCUUCUUUCAAGAAAAGCUCCUGAAUCCUUUACAAUAAAUAAUAUAUCUUUUUGAGUCAACAUUUACGUAGAGAAAAUUAAUUCAUAAUGAAGAACUAUAAUUUGAGCAAUACCGGUAGUCCAACCAUAACGCCUAGCAGAGAAAUAUUGUUAAUUUCAUUGCUCAACACAACUGGACUCUGCAUGAUGAACUGCUUGGUAUCGUGACUACCAUGGGCAUUUCCUGAUUUAAUUAAAACACUAAAUUAUAUAAAUAAUAAUUUAAAAUAGUUUAAUUGAGAUGCUUUCAAAUUUCUUUUCUAUUUAAUUAUUUCUUUUCAAGCCAUCUCCUAGAAUUCCAUAAGCCUCAAUUUUACAUUAUAUACAUAGAAAUUCUCCUAUGCAGACGUCCGGAUGUUAUUACCGUUAUCAUGUCGUGUUUUGGGUUUAGGAACUGAAAAUAGAAAAUUAUCGAAUUAUUAAUACAUGUUAUUUUGUUACCUAUAUAGAUGUUGUUCGCAAAAGCAUGAGUUGCAUGUCCUUUAGACUCAGCAACAAGUAUUGGUUCAGCGCAAGAAAUGUUGUGUUGAAACCUGUUACACAUAUUAGUUUGUUAUAUAAAGGAUAAGAUUGGAAAGAUUAAUUUUGCAAAGAAAUGAAUGUACCUGAGAGUAUACCACAGAUAAUCAGAUACAUCUUUGGUCACAUUCGUGUGCUCAAGUAAUGUAUCUGAAUGUAGUGAAGUAUUUUCAUAGUUUGGAAUCACAUCUGUGUACCCUUGCCAUCUAUCCAUCGAAUCGAAGAUUUCGGUUGUUCGUAUGAUUCUUUUCGUGUAAUUUGUAUUUACCUAUGUAUAACAAGAAAUACAUGACAACACUUAAUCUACCAUUAGUAAAAAAGAAACUACUGAAGAAAAAUUGACAAUACAAAGACUUGGGAGAAAAGUUAUAUGUAUGCCUAACCCAAAAUUACCGUUGUGGCCUAAUAAAAAAAUUGUUUGUCGCCAAGCGAAAUUCUAUAGUGAAGAUGCCAUAUACGGACCUUUUAUGUGAACCUACCUAUUAGUCACAGGAUUAUUUCAUUAAACUUAAGUGAAGUUACUAUUUAGAUAAAUCAUGUGGCUAAUAUGAAUGUCCAUAUAUGACACCCUCACCAUGGUCAAAACCGGAAAUCCAAAUAAUCUUUCCGUAUUUGACCCAAAAAAAAAAAAAAGUAUCCUUUCCUUAAAGUGAAAACGAAAAAGUAUAUUUUGUUUUGACAAAAAUGGCCCAAAUUCAUAUAUUUAAUCCUUUUUUCCUUAUUACUAAGUGCAUAAAUUCAAGACCUCGAAUGCAUGAGUAGAUGGAAAAAGAAAAGCAGGGCGAAAUUCAGAUAACUUACCGUUGCCGUGUUGAAAAUUACUUUUUCACAGUCUGGUAGAAUGCUAAUUGACUUUGGCAUCAGCUCAUGCGAUGCAUUUUGGAACUGAACAGUAGCAUUGUUUCUUUCAUCAUUAUUUAUAAGAAAUGCAACACAUCUUCCUUCAGUUUCUUCGCGAAAGACAUAGGCCUGAUUAGAAAUGACAAAUAAUGUAAUUAUUAUGUACGUACAUUUCAUUAUUGACUGAGAAUACACUACAAGAAAUAUUAUAAUCACUAAUAUUUAUGGCAUAUAAUGACGUGGCUUCGGUUGCAUCCUUUGUGUUCAUUGUUAGUAUUCAGUGAGAAACCUAGUCUAGUUGGGUAGUAUUUGGUGAACUCCUGUCAAUUUCUAAUCGAAAUUUAGUCUACGGCUCCCUUUCGUUGAUUUCAACUCUUUGUCUAUCAAGGCACUAUUAUUGUCUAAUAACAUAAUGGGCACGAAUCAUCGUGACUGUGGCUAUUAGGCACCGACAAUAUACUUUUAGUCACCUCAUCAUAAUGUCAGUGACUAUUACUAAAAUUUCCCCGUAGUAAUAAUUGGUGUUUAACUAAUGAAUUAGGUUAAUUAUAUUAAACAUGGAAGGCUAUAUGAUCACCUCUUGAAGUUGACCUAGUGAAAAAUUUGUUGGCAUUCCCUGUAGUAAAGUUGUAGAGCAACUUUUGAUUGCAGCAUGCAAUGCCUUAAGAUGACCCCACUUGGGCUGCCGCAGCAAACCUAAAUAAUUUCCAAAAAGCAGUUAUAAGUGUUUAAUUAGUUGGUUGAUUAAUGCAUAAAAUCAAGGAUUAAUGAACCAAUUAUAAUUCAUAUAUGCAAAUUUAAAAUAAUGAACUGACCGUAUUCGUCGAGAGGAGCUUGAUCAUAAUAACUUGUUAUGACAUAUGCAGAGCUUGUUCUUCCAAAAUUAGUUCCACCGUGGUACUAGAGAGAUCAAUUAUAAAUUACAAUACACCACAUGAUUGUUAAAUAUAUAUAUAUAUAUAUAUAGUAAGAGAGAGCUUUCAUUGAGAGAUUCCUCAAAUAAGUUUAUAUAAAAGACACUUUUGUAGGACCAAUUCUGCAUUGUAUUUCACAAAUCCAAACCGUCUAUUUUGUAUAUAUUCAUUUAAAGAUCAUCUCUACAAAAAAAUCACCUGAAUUCGAUAUUAUUUAACCACUCAAUUAAUUUAUUGAAAUUUUAGUACUUUUUUGAAGUAUCGUGUUGAUUGAUUUUAUAGGACACAAUUAUAUGUCUAAAAUAAUUUCCGAUUUGCGUAAUUUUUUGCAAGAAAUUUACUGUUUUUCUCCCAAAACUAAAAAGGUAAUUGAUAAAGCUAGAGUGAUACCAUGUAAUAGUUUACGUAGCUUCCAUUUCUAGCUAUAAAAAGCGCAACAUGAAAUGCAAUGUCUUCGGCAGAUCUUAUAUAUGGUUCUCCACCGUACACUUGAUAGCUGAAAACAGAACAUGAUCGUUAUACUCUAAUUAUUUUUUUUUAAAGAAACAUUCAUAAAUGAAAGAACGAAUUAAUAACUAAAUAAAAUAAAAUUAGUUAGGUGUCUCAUUUAAUUAUGAUAUAUACGUAAAUACAAAACUUAUGUCUAAGAAAAUUAAUGUAUAUAAUCAAAUUGUUGACAUGAGUUAUCCAUUUAAUGACAUUUACUUCCUAAGUUAAUUAGGUGAUUUAUUUCCUUUUUAGCAUAGUUGACAUAUACAUAUAUAAUUAGGAGAUAUUUCCUAUUUAUUCUAUGUAUCUAUUUCCUUGUAAAGUACACAUAUAAAGCCCUAUAUAUUACUCCUUAAAUAGAAGAAUACAAUCAUCCAAAUAUUCAAACCAUAUUCUUAUUCUUAGCAUGGUAUUAGAUCGGCCGAUCUUAGGUCGUCUCUAAGCCCUCAAAUCAUAUCCUCAAAUCCAAACACAAACUCUAAAUCAAAUUCCUAAACACUCAAAUCAAAUCCUCUUAUCAAAUCUUUGAACACAAACCCCUAUCAAAUCUCAUACAGUUCCAUUGUGAUGUCAGAGGAACCUCUCUCGCUCACAAAAGGCUCUUCCAGUUCCAACCCUCAAAUUGUCACAAUUCAGAGUGACAACUCCCCUCUCCCUACUAGAAUCAUCCCCAAUGAGACCAACUAUGCAUUGUGGUCUCAAGUUAUGGAGAUGCGAAUUGCUUCUAGAGAAAUCAGGGAUGCAGUUAAAAAGACCUUUAAUGAUGGGGGUGAUGAAUCUUACCUUUAUGAUCUAAACAAACGGUCGUUUACUAUGAAGCAAAAUGGUCCACCCGUUCAUACAUACUACAACCAGUUACGAAUUAUUUUUCAGGAGAUAGAUCAUCGGAGUCCAAUCAGUAUGCAAUGUGCAGCCGAUUUGACUACCCGCCAAUUAGAGGUAGAUCGUCUCCGCGUUCAUAUUUUUCUUGCAGGACUAGACCUAGAGUUUGAUCAGGUUCAUGGGGAAAUACUGUGCAAAGAUCCAAAAUUGGACCUUGAAAAUACAUUUGCCGACGUCCGUAGAGAUGCUCAACAAAGAAUCUCCAUGAAUGGUGCCAAUGAUCCUAAAGACACAUCAGUCAUGGCUGCUCACCGUCAAAAGGGAGCACAUAAUUCUCCCAGUAUCUCUGCUCAAAAUAAGGCAUUGGGAACUCGUCCAAAAAAGAAGUGCACACAAUGUGGAGGUAGCAAACAUACUCGUGUUGGCUGCUAUGAGUUGGGUAUCCUGAUUGGUGGGACCAUUCCAAAGCUCCACGGAGGAAUGAAGGAAAAGCAUUACAAGUGUCUUCAGAUUAUGUCCCUGAAAGUCCUACUAUUCCGGCUACACCGGCACUUGCAUUUGCCUCUAUAUCCACAACAGGUACCAAAGGUUAUGCUUUAAAUAUCUCAUCUCACAAAAACACACGGAUCAUUGACUCGGGAGCAACUGAUCAUAUAACAUUUGAUCCUAGACAAAUUAUUACUCACACAAUGUCUUCCUAGUUGAUGGUGUCUAAUGCUAAUGGUAUCCCUCCCCUAUGAUUGAGGAGGGUUCUCCAUCUCUCUUUGACUCCCUAAAUUUGGAUUAUGUGUUGAUUGUUUCAUCUUUGAACCAUAAUUUGUUGUCUAUUGCACAAAUUACUUCGGCUUUGGAAUGUAUUGUAACUUUUUGGCCAACUCAUUGUUUGUUCAGGACAUCCUCACCAGCAAGACGAUUAGUUGUAGUACUAGGAGGGGCAAACUCUACUACUUGGACUUGACUCCAGACAGUCAAACUUUCUAGAUGGGUGGAGACAAUGGUGAGAAAAAGAAAGAUGAAGUGUGGCUAUGGCAUAGACUUUUUGGACAUACAUCAUUUGGUUAUUUACAAAAGUUAUUUCUAUAAUUAUUCUCAAGAUUUGAUAUUUCAAGUUUUUAAGUGUAACAUUUGUGAACUAGCCAAGAGCCAUCGUGUUUCAUUUUUCUUAAGUUCAAAUAAAAGUUAAGUUCCUUUGUCCCUUAUUCACUUGAAUGUUAGGGGACCUGCUAAAAUUGUCACUCUGGCUAGGGCUCGAUGUAAGCUUCAAUACCAUCAUUAUCUUAUUAUCUCUAGCAUCAAAUCUAGAUUGGCCAUUACAUUAGUUUGAUGUUAAAAAGGCCUUCUUACAUGGAGAAUUGGAAGAUGAGGUAGACAUGGAUCUACUGCCAUAAUGUAAUCUAGCUCAAGAAAAGAAAGGAUCAAGUUUGCAAACUCAUAAAGUCAUUAUACGAGUUGAAAUAGUCUCCUAGAGCGUGGUUUGGAUGGUUUACUAAGUCCAUGAAGAAUUUUGGAUACACUCAAAGAAAUUCAGACCACAUUCUAUUCUUAAAGCAUGAUGAAGACAAAGUCACCGCCUUAAUUGUUUAUAUAGAUGACAUGGUUGUGACUGAAACUGACACAAAAGAGAGACAAAAGCUACAACAAUACUUAUCUCAGGAGUUUGAGAUAAAGGAUCUAGGUAGGGCUUGUCAAUGGCUGGGCUGGGCUAGCCCGGCCCAAAUUUAAUGAGCUUGGGCCGGGCCGAGCCAGGCUUUAAAGAGGAGAGAGAAAAUACUGGGCCGGGUCGGGCUGGAUUUUUUUAGAAAAUUCAAAGCCCAAGCCUGACUCAUGGGCUGGGCUUGAGAAAGCCCAUCGGGCCGAGCCGGGCUAAGCCCAACCGGCCGGGCCGAAACGGGCCUAUUUCAUUUCAAAAAAAAUUAUAAACUUAAUCAUAAAGGCAUUUUAGUCCAAAUUUGAGAUUAAACCCCCUUAAUUCCAAUAUUUUCACCUCAAACCAAAUUCAUAAAACACCCAAUAAAGUCACACAACUUAAUAAGAUUUUUCACAAAAAUAAUAAAACCAAGUUUUCUUUUUGAGGUUAUUACAUAAUUAGACCGUAAUACGUUUUAAGAAAUAAUUUUAAAAAAUAAUAAGUAUCAAAAAAAUAUUUUUUUUAAAGAAUGGUAUGAAUAAAUAUGCAAAUGUUUGGUGAUGUGUUCAAGAAAAGCAUGAUUAUAUUUGGUGGUACGAUUAUGUUUCAUGAUAUGAUAUGUUGUUCAUCUUAUUUACAUAUAUAUAAUUGUUGUAUUAAUAAUUGACAUGAAUUAAUGCGCUAAUCAUCCAAUUAUAAACUAGGAAUGAGUAAAGAAAAGUAAAUGAAAUGAAACAAAUUAUAUAUGUGAUUUAAGUGAUAUAAUUCUAAUCCUAAACUCUUAUUUAUACAUAAUUAUAUAUGUAUGCGGGUUUAAUGGGCCGUGCUUUUGUGAGCGAGCCGGGCAGGGCUUUCUUGGGCUUAACCGGGCCGGGCCUAUGGGCCAAGCCGGGCUUCAGACACCCAAGCCCAAGCCUAGCCCAGCUCAAGGUGGGUCGGGCCGGGCUGGGCUUUUUUUCGAUGGGCUGGACUUUUUUUCGAUGGGCCGGGCGGGCCCCCACUGGCUCAUGAGCCCGCAUGCCAAAUGAUGAAUCAAAGGAAGUAUGUGAUGGAUUUACUGAUUGAAACAAAAUGCUCAUAUGUAAGCUUUGGCUGACACAUCUAUUGACGUAAAUCAUGAGUUGGUGUCCAUAGCAUUAUUUUUUCGAAGAAAAAAAACCCCCUGCAUUUAAAGUGACUUCGGGAGUAAAAAUGGGAUUUUUUUUUUAUUUUUUUUAUUAUUUUAAAGUAUGUGGAAUCCCCUUAUCCUAAAUUAUUAAAUUUUCAUGUGAAUUUCUCUUUUUUUUUAAACAUAUAUAUUAUAUGAUUUUUGCAAAUGAGGUAUAGUCUAGUGGAAAAGGGCAUUGACUUGCAGACCAGUAGUCUCAAGUUCAAACUCUCAUGACACCUUGGUAGUGUGUGUGUGUGUGAGAGAGAGAGAGAGAGAGAGAGAAAUCUCCCUCCCCUUUCUAGUUUAGACUAUUACUUAUAUUCGGAUAUAGUAAAAAAAAUUUAAGUGAGAGUUUACCAACUAAUUAUCUACCUUAGCUUAAUACCACUAAAUACUAAUUGAGUUAGACCUUGAGGGGACGCAUUAAUUACAUGUGUAUUUGAUUAAUAUAUAUUAUCUAAAUACAAUUAAUAUUCUAUGAAAAUUAAUAUAGAUCUAGAUAUACGUGGAUGCAUAUAUAAACAAGAAAACAUACAAUGAGGUCCAAUUCUCUGUCCAAAGAGAGGGCUUAUUGGGUGAGUUUGGUCCUCCAAAAGUUUGCCCACACCGCAUACCGUUGCAUGUAUUGAUCUGCAUGUCAUGUUUAUUAAUUUAAAUAAUAUAUAUUUUAAUUAAUUUAAUUUAGAGCUGAGGAUAUAUAUGUAGUGAGAAAAUUAAAAAGACCAACAACUAUUUACCACCACAAAAAAAAAAAAAAAAAAAAACCAACCACUGGAUCAGGAGCAUCGGUUUGCUUGCACAUGACCCAUGGUACACCAGUUUGGAGCUCAACGGCCAUUUUUGCUGCCCAACGAACGUAGGCGGGUCCUUUCUCAUGGAAUGCUGCUUCUAUGUUUUGAUAUUCGUUCUCAAUCUAAAUAUGUUAUAGAUUAAAUUCCAUUAAUUAUAGAUUAAAUUGAAAAGUACUUUUAAUUAAUCAUUAUAUAUGUACCUGCGAUAAUAUGAUUGGGCCUCCUUGUGAUGCAUAUAAACCCUCUGACUUCAUCAUGUUCACUAUUUUUGUAGUAAAAUUUUGCAUAUAAAACUACAAAAGAAGAAAGAACACAAUAGACAAGACAUCAUAAACAGAGGAAAUAACGAGUUAAUCAUUUUUUUUUUCUUUUAUACAUGUUUACUUAUUAGGAAUGAAGGGUACAAACUUUGAAUGGUUCAUUAUCUGAGCGAUAAACUAUGUCAGGAACAUCAUGCAGCCAAAACGGAAAUCCCCUGAAAAUAUAAAUUAAAGAGUCAAUUACCAACCUCGAAAUUAAUCCCCCCCUUUUAUCAUAAACAAAAAUAAAAACAAAAUGAUAUACAAAAGAAUAUCAGGAUGGCCUUGGGUUUGGGCCCUUAGGGCAAUGCCCUAGGGCCUCGGAUAAAUAGGGCCCCAAAAUUUUUAAUAUCCAUAUUAUAUAUACAAAGAGUUUCAGUUGAGGGAUCUCUCAAAUAAGUUUAUUUGAAUGACACUUUUGUAGGACCCACUAUGCAUUGUUUUUCAAUGAUCCGAAAAAUCUAAAGUUUAGAGAUUCAUUCAAAGAUAACCUCUACAAAAAAGUCACUUGAAUCCAAUAUCAUUUGACCACUCAAUUAAAUUAUUGAAAUUUAAGUACUUUCUUAAAGUACCGUAUUCAUUAAUUUUGUUGGUCUCAAUUAGAUGCCUUUGUGAUUUUCAAUUUGCAUGAUUUUUUGCAAAAAUGAUCUCUGAAUGAAGAUGUGAAAGAAAAUACAUACAUGUGCAUAAAUAAAAAAAAUUCUUUCUUGCUAAAUUAUAAUUAUAUACAAAGGAAAAUGAGCUUCAUUUUAAUUUAUGCCCUAAAGAAUAUAUGAAAUGAGAAAAAUUAAACAUACCCAUAUGUCCAUUCACUCUCAAUGAAUGGUCCGAUCCUAAGGCAAGCAUAAAGUCCUUGUGCCUGGAUUUCCUUCAUGAAUUUUACUAAAUCAUAUCUUCCACUGAAAUUGUACUGUAAAUAACACAUACGUACAAAACAAUAUUCACUAUAUCAGCCAAUGAGAGAGAGUGAACUAGAGAGAGAGGGAUGGAAUGUUAAAUUACCAACCUGACCCGGUUGGGGCUCAUGAAGAUUCCAAAAUACAUAGGUUUGAAUCACAUCAAGUCCUCCUUCCUUGGCUUUCCCAAUUAAAGAUCCCCACAUCUACACCAAGUCUUUAAUUUCACAAACAAUAUACAUAUACGUAUAUAUAUACGAACAGAACGGUGUAUAAAAUAUGUUACAUGAAAGUUUUAUUUCUAACUAGUGAAAAAUAUAUAUAUUAUACAAUUUUUCUUGGGUUUUUACUUGCUCUUUUUGUUUUUAUAUCCAGCCCACGACAAUUAAUUUGUUUGAAUCCACUCCACCCCACAAUCAUUGUAGCUUAUUUAUCUGUAUAUAUGCAGGGUUCACAUUCAUUACAGUUCUCGAAUCUUGCAUCAAACAAAAUGGACACAUAAGAUAUGUCCAAAAGAUACGAAGAAAAUGUGAUAUGUCCAAAAGGUACGAAGAAAAUGUGAACCAAGCUUCUAGCCGUGACAUAUAUAAUCAUAAUGAAGAGGGAUUCACUAUUAUGUCCAAUAUAGGGAUUUAAAUUAUAAAGAAAAAAACUUACAUGAAAUGUACUUUAUAAAUACACCCAAAGACCAUUUACAAUAUAACAAAGAGGCUUUAAACUUCCUAUAAAAUACAAAAUUGCCAUCGAUUUCUUAAAAUGAGCCCAAUCCCAAAACCUCAUUAAAAAAACUCAAAACACUCAACAUGGCAUCAAAGUAAUUUAAUAAUCAAAAUUAAAUUCAAUAAAGUCAGCUGUCUUUUUUCAGGUUUGUUUAUAGGAAUUAAAUGGUGUUGGAUUUAUCUAUAUCACAAGUGCUAAGAAUGAGUAUAUAACUAAAUAUCUAAUAAAGGAACAUGAUAAACCACCAAAUAUAUGAAAAUGAAUGUUAAUUGCAAUGGAAAACAGAAUAAAUUAAUAUUUAGUAAUUAUUUAUGCAAACAUCUAAGGCCUCGGGAGGUGUAUGGACUCUUCACCACUUAAACUACAAACACCUUGUUUAAUAUUUAGUGUUUUUUGAAAAUUGCACUUGAGCUAGAAAUAUUCAUGAACUAUAAUUGUGUAGUGACUUUUGAAUAUUGCAUUACGAACAAGUAAAUGUGUAGUGAUAUAAUUACCUCAGGUGUACUCCGAGGAUAGUGAAUAGAACCUGAAAAUAGAAUUCUUCUUUCCCCUUUAAUGAUGAGAGAUCUUCCAUCAUACGUGACAUCUCCUCCACAAACACAACCUUCUUGUGUUAUAACUACCGCCACCGCCGCCAUAACAAAUAAACGCAGCCACGGCCUCCACGACUGCCGCCACUCCAUCUCUCUCUUUGUCUUUCUCACGAUCACCAAUUAGUGUAGACUGAAAUUUUGUAUAUGAUCACCAAAAGAAGGUUUAUGCUUUAACUACUACGUCUUUUGGGGGAAGAAGAUGAAGAUGAGAAUAUAUAACGGAUGACAAUGUGCAUAUAGAAUGGAUGAGUUGGGUUAAUUAAAGCAUACAUACAUGGCACGUGACACCUUAGGGUUUUUAGACCCAUACCAUAACAAGAUACCUAGGGGCAACUUGGUAAUUGAAGUCCAUCUAUCUACCACAUUGCAAAUGAGAUGAUGAUAGGUCACAUGCACCUUCUGUAUGUUCAGUUGUUUACGUCAUAGCUUAGCGUGGCUGGGAUGGCAAGGCAAGACAAAAAGAGCCCAACCACCGCACCACGCCAACACACUACUGUGUAUGUGUGAGAAGUAAAGAAUCACCGCUUCCACGAAACCUGGGCAGCUGUUGCUUGCUUUGCUUGUAUAAUUAAUUUUUCUUCUGUUUGUUUGGGCCUCUUUUGCACCAAACCACGAAGACAUCGCAAUGCAAUUUGGUGAUGAAAAGCCCAAACCAAAUAACCCAGCCAUUUCCACCCAACCUUGUUCAUCGAUUCAAUUGCAAAUAUAUGAAUGUUAUCAAUGACUUCAGGAAAGAAUACAACUUUACCGAGUCUUUUAACACACCGAUGUGGUGUGAAUUAAAGCGCCUCUAAUGUUUAAGUUAGAUUUAGAAUAGGCUUAUUAUCACAAACAUUUUUAAGGUUUACGAAACUAUCAAAUUGCAUCCGUAAUGUUUUUUGGUGUCAUACGUGGUCUUUAAAGUUCGUAUGUGUGACCACAAAUGGUCUCUGUCGUUAGGUUCUGCCAAAAACUCCGUUAGUUUGCUGACAUGAUAUAUAUAUAUCACAAAACAUCCCUAAGGUUCACCCACCUAUCACAAAUGGUCCUUACGAAAUUUUUUAAUUUUUUAUAUUUAAAAUUCAUAAAAUUUUGGUUUUAUUUUUAAAAUUUUAUGAAUUUUAAAUUAUUUAAAAAUACAUAUUAUAUUUUAAAUACAUGUGACACUAUAUUAUUAUAGAUGUGGGCUCCAUAUAUAUGCCACAUCAACAAACUAAUGGAGUUUUUAAAAAAUAAUUUAAAAUUCAUAAAAUUAAAAAAUUAAAAAACUAAGGGUUUAGGGUUCAUAAAUGGUCCUCAAGAUUAAAAUCCUUCUAUAAAUGAUUUUUCAUUUAUAAAUAAUUUUAAAAAGAAAAUUAAAAUUUUAUGAAUUUUAAAUGAAAAAACUAAAAAAAUUCAUAGGGACCAUUUGUGAUAAGUGUGUGAACCUCAGGGAUGUUUUGUGAUAAAUAUGUCACGUCAGCAAACUAACGGAGUUUUUGACGAAACCUAAUGGCAAGGACCAUUUGUGAUCGCACAUACUAACCUUAAGGACCACGAGUGACACAAAAAAAUAUUAAGGAUGCAAUCUGAUAGUUUCAUAAACCUUAGAGACGUUUUGUGAUAAGGUUCUUGAUUCUAGGAACAGUUACCUUCUCCAGUUGAUGGAGGUUGGCUUUUAUAUAGUCUUUAGGUGACUGAUUUCUCGUCGUUCACAACUAUAUGAUGUAAGCUUAUUGGACUUGGGACGUAGGGGUAAGUAAGGGGUUUAAUGCACGGGAGCAUAGGUUGGGUUGUGUCGGUUUUUAUCCCAACUUGAUAUAUAGCAAUUUAUGAUUUAUUAUACCAAAAACUCGCUCAUUAUUAGGCAAAUUCAACUCUUUUGUGAUUGGGUUGGGCGGUUCGGUCAGAUUAACUCAAAAUUAAACCCACAUAACGGUUUAUAAUUUUUUAAACCCAAUACCCAUUCAUUAUUAGGUCAAUUCAACCCAACUUCUAAUAAUCGAGUUAGACAAUUCGGUCUAAUCCAAUUUACCCGAAAUUGUGUCGACCCCUAAUAUAUUUGCACCACCAAUCACGUAAUGGUUAUAAUAUCUUGUGAUUGACUUGGCGCCACUAAUUCGAGGAUUGACCAUGUUGGGUUUGCCCUUAUACAACUAUGCUUGGGCUUUAGAGGUAUUGGGCCGAAACGUGGCCCAAUUUCCAGACCGAUUUGAUAGAGAAGACUUUCUCUGUCACCUCUGCCAGUUAUUGAAACGGUGUGCAUUUAAUUAGAUGCGGAUCUAUUUCCCUCGUGUGGUUGACGAUAAUUUCAUCCAAUUAUCACUGAUUGUGUCCAUAUGAGUUCUUGUAUGUCAUCAGUGCUUAUGAAAAGUGGCUUGACCAUAGCCCAACAACAACUGUAAAAGUAUAGGACCUGAAGCUGUAACUGGAUUCAAGUCCAACCACUGCCCACCAAUAAACUGCCCCAGAUAUAUAUAUAUAUAUAUUCUUUAAUAUGUAAUAAUAAUUUGGUUUUGGGAGGGGAAGGGGUUGGGAGUGGGAAAGGACCAGAAAGCGGGAGAGGUACUAAUUAAUUGGUCAAUAUUGACAGCUAGUAUGAAAAAUACAGAAGCUUCCCAGCAAGUACCCAACUGAGAACGACUGGACUAGUACCCCAACAUGUUCAUUUCACUUGGACCUCUUUACUAUAAUCCCACCAUUUACUAGUGAGAGUGAUGUUUUCAAGCAACAUUCCUAAUCACCAGCUCCAAAAACCAAAACGGCGGCCAUUUUAAAUCAUUAAAGACAACAUGAGAUCUUCAUCAUUACAAUCCAUAAAUGGCAACUUGAGAUCUUGUGUUCGUAUGGUUUUGGAUAACAUGUGAAUAACCUUAUUUUGAUAUCAUAAAGAAGUUGAGAUUUCAUUUCAUAAUCAAUUAGCAAUCGAGAAUAAAUUCUCUCACAUCAUGAAACAAUAAAAUUGAAACUUAACGUAAACCCUCGUUAUGUUCGUAUUUAAUUUAUUAGAAAUAAAAAUGAGACUUAACGUGAAUUCAAAUUAAAUAAACCUUAGUAUGUUUACAUAAAAUUUAUGGACGGAGGAAGUUAGAUAUGGAUAUGCUGUUGACCAAGUUGUGGAGGAAAGUCGUAGCAAUUGGACAAGUUGAAAGAAAUUGAAGAAAAAGAGCACUAAUCUGAAUAUGAAUCGAUGAUGGUGGGUCCCUUUGUCCACAUAAAUCUUAAACAAAGCAAGCCAAGCAAGCUCCAAGUAGCUUCCUGCUUCCACAUGCAUUGUUUAUCCAUAAAUAUAUAUACGUCAGGCACCACGUCACGCAACACCUUUCUAUGUUGAGGUUCACAUGCAUCGCGCCACUUUUUUCGACAUUAUGAACCCGGACAAAGGUUCACUCCUUGCUCCCCAAGUUUCCCAGUCGACAUUUUAUUAUUAUUAUUAUUAUUUUGUCGUGUCCUUUUCACUUUUCAAUAUUCAUAUGGAAUAUUCUAUUCACAUGGCUGCCUCAAAUUUGUUUUACUCUCGCUCUCUGUCUUUAUUUUAAAGAUUUGUCUAAUAUUCUAUUCAUAUUAUACAAAAAUUCAUAUAGAGUCUAUUUAGACAGAAAAAUCUAAAAUUAGCAAUUUAUCAUUUUUUAAGUGGUUUUUAGAAAAUUUUAACACACUAAGAAACAAUUAGAAAAUAACAAGUGACUAAUUUUGUGUUUUUUUUUCUCUUAAAAUGAAUUCUAUAACGAUUUUUGUAUAAUAUGUCAUGUUAGAAUGAGUCUAUUUGUGAAAAGCUCUUAUCUUAAGCCAAAGUUCAUAAGAAGAAACGUUGCGACUUAUGCCAAAUCUUUUUUUAUUUUAAUCUUUUCAGGCAUGUGUGUCUCAUAAGUUUUCGCUUGUAAAGUGAAAUCUUUUAAAACUCUUUUAUUUAUUUUUUGAAGUUUACUUUUGUUUGUGGUAGAGCAUACAAAUAAAAUACCAAACGAGAGUUCCUUACUUUCUUUUAGACUGCAGAACAAAGAAAAAGAGCACUAGAGAAGAAACAGUACGGACUAUAGUUGAAAGACUUUUAAAAUUAGGAGUUGAGGAAAGACACAUGUGGAUGUGGUGUAGAAAAAAUAAGUAGGAACCCCGUCUAACAUCUUAAAAAUCAAACUUCAAUGGUCAUGGGCGUGAAAAGUUCUUAAAAAGUUGCGGCUGGAUUUUUUGUUUAUUUUUUAUUUUUUAUUUUUUAUUUUUAUACAAAUAAUAUUAUAUUUUAAUAUAAUGUAAACUACGGAGAUGAAGAUUCACUUUAUUAUUAGAGAUCAUAUUGCGAAUGUUAAUACUGAUGGAACUUACCCUGUUAGUCAUGCUUACGUCCUUCAAUUUGAAGUUGCAGCCCUUGAGCAUGGUAGCAUGGUUAAAGGGCAAUACGUUUAAAUUAUAAAAAAAAAAUUAAUUAUUGCAGGAUAUUCUACUACAGCUUUGAAUCAUAUUUUAACCUCUAGUUCUACUAAUAAUAUUCCUUGGCAUAUUUUGUCCACGUAAGAAAUAUCCGAAGGCUUCUUUUUUCAACUUGAGCAAUUUCAAUUUUAACAUGUUUAUAGAGAAGUAAAUAUAGACACAUACGGGUUAGCAAAUUCAAGGUAAUAAUCAUAUGUUUAUUUAUUAGGAAUGGAGGAAUUCAUGAAUCUGUGAACUUAGUAAAAAGAGAAUUAAAAAGGGGAUACCAUUUAUGAUUUUGAGGGUAUUUAAUUAUAGAUUUUAAUAUAGAAUCCACAUUAUUUUUAAUUCACUAUGUGUAAUAAAGAUAUAGGAAGUAUGAAAUUAGAAUAAUUCUAAUACUAAUAUUCUAGUAAAUACAAAAUAAGCGAGAAUCAAAAUCAUUUAAAUAUGCGUUCCUCAUAAGUAAAAAUACUAUUGUUAAUAUGAAUGGAAUAAUAUACUCUUACCAUAUUGAUUUAAUUGAUGUGACAUAUAAUAUGUACAUAUCACAUCAUGUAAUAUAAAAAUAUAAUAAGUAUAGCAUUAUUCGUAUUCACGUUGAGAUUUAUUUUGAUAUUGAAAAUGUUGGCAGUUCAUUCAUAAGUAUCUUCCCUGUAAUUUUGUUUCUUAUGGAAAAUAAAGAAAAGGAUUAUGUGAUGCGGCAGAACGCAAGUUCCAGAUAGAGAGAGAGAUGAUUUGUUUGGUGAGUCGUAGAAUUUUGGAUUAGUUAAUUGUGGAUCCAUCCAUGAUCCAGCAGCGCCAUGACGUUUUGUUCCAUACGUCAUGCGUGCGGGCUAAGGAAACUCCAAAUCCAUGCAGUUGAACGGUCGUCCUGCAGUUUCCCCUUGGACCAAAAAGUCUUCCACAUACCGAACGUGGCAAAUGGUGAUUCGCUGACCGCACAAAAUAAAAACUCCUCGCGGAACAGGAGAUCGAGGACGACCGUCAACGAUGCAGUAGAGGCAGGAUUUAAAAAAGCGGAGAGAGGAACGUCCAAAAUAGGUGACGAAAGCAAUGACACAAUUAGCAAGCUGAAAGUGGCCCAUGCGCACGUGGCACCUUCAGGUUAGACCGUCGACUGGCUGCGGUCAGCCCCUCCACCUCCUCUCUCUCACUCUCUCUCUGAACCCACGUGUCAAAAUUAAAAAAAAGAGAGAAAAAAAAGAAAAAGAAAAAGAAUAAUGUUGUGUCUUUAUUGAGCGUGCGGGCGGGUAUAUAAAAAGGCUUCGGAGUCUUGUAAAAACCCAUCGUUCCAAAUCCGAGAAGAAACUAGAAGCAGAGGAGCUUAAACCAGAAGAAGAAAUUCAAGGCGAUCUACAACUAGCAAGAUCAAGGGCAAGCAAGAGCAAGGGAGCUGUAAAAAGUAAACGCUAAAAAUGGGAAGUGGAAGUGAGUUGGAGUUACCGCCAGGGUUCAGAUUUCACCCAACGGACGAGGAGUUGGUGAAUUAUUACUUGUGCCGGAAAUGUGCUGGGCAGCCUCUCGCUGUUCCCAUCAUCAAAGAGAUUGAUCUUUACAAGUUUGAUCCUUGGCAGCUACCUGGUAUAAAUAAAUUCCCCCAUUUCCAAUUUUUUAUUUUUGGUCAAAUCCCCAUUUCCAAUUUCACCAUUUCUGAUUGAAUCACUGGAUUUCAUUGGGUUAAUUUAAUGGGUCACCUGGAUUUCAUCUCAAUUGGCCCCAACCCAACAAAAAAAAAAAAAAAAAAAUUUGUUUUAUGAACUCUGGAUUGGUUGAAAUUUUUUCUCUGAUUGGUUUGAUGUGAUUUCAAUUUGGGAACUUUGAAUUUCAAUUUUUUAAUUUUUUUUCUGCAAUUUUUGUCGUUGUUUUUGCAGAUAUGGCUCUUUAUGGAGAAAAAGAGUGGUAUUUCUUUUCGCCAAGGGAUAGAAAAUAUCCGAACGGUUCAAGGCCGAACCGGGCAGCAGGAACCGGGUACUGGAAGGCGACCGGGGCAGACAAGCACAUUGGAAAGCCCAAGGCACUUGGGAUUAAAAAGGCACUCGUGUUCUACGCUGGCAAAGCUCCUAAAGGAGUUAAAACCAAUUGGAUCAUGCACGAGUAUCGCCUUGCAAAUGUCGAUAGGUCGGCUUCCAAGAAAAACAACAACAACUUGAGGGUACCUAACUUUAUCCUUUUGCACGUUAUUGACUUUUACCUAAUUAUUCAAUGUCUUCAAAUUAAAAUGGUUCAUUUUAAUAAACGAUGCGAUAUUGUAAAAUACUCUAAUAUAUGAGGUCGGGGAUUAAAUUCGGUUACAAGGUUAUUACAUUAUCUUGGUCAACUGAUCUAACACACGUCUGCAAAUUUUAUUUUAUAUUGUGCUAAUUUGAUUUUAUGUAUUAUUGCAGCUUGAUGAUUGGGUGCUGUGCCGAAUAUACAACAAGAAAGGUAGCAUAGAGAAAUAUAACGUUGCCAUGGAGCGCAGUAAAAUGACCAAAUACCCAGAAAUAUUGCAUGAGCAAAAACCAGAAAUGACCCAAAUGCCACCACCCCAUACGGAUAUGUCGUCGAUGGAUUCAGCACCGAGGGUGCAGCAGACGACGGACUACUCUAGCUGCUCGGAGCACGUGCUGUCGCCAGAGGUCACGUGGGAGAAGGAGGUCCAAAGUGAGCUACAAUGGAGCGGUGAUGAAUUAGAGAAUUCCUUUAAUACCCUUGAUAAUCAGUUCAUCAAUUACAUGGAUGGCUUCUCAGAUAUUCUUGACUCUUUUGGCGCUGCUCAGCCUCAGUACCAAAUGGACCAGCAGAACAUGUUUGCCUACUUACAAACCCAAUUUUAAACCAAACUUGUUGGGUUAUGAAAGUGGCAGGACCAGAAAAAUUUGAGAAAAAAAAAAAAAAGAAUGGGCCGGACUUGUGCGGUGCUAUUGGAGAGGGCCCUUGACGUAGGUCCGUUAUUAUUUUAUUUAGUACCUAAUAUUCUUUUAAAGUUGGUUUAGAGACCAAAUGAAUUUAUGAUGUCAUAAAAGGACCUGUGGUUAAGGCUCUUGCUCAGUGAGAAAAGCAUCAAGCUGAUGGGCUCGGGUUAGAUUCUCCAUAAUAUGUUAAUACGUAAUGAUUACGGUAGAAAAUUGUUACAAUUUCCAGGAAUUAUGUAGCAGAAAUUUUUUUAAUUUUUCUUUUUAAGUAUGCAUGACGUGUAAUUAUAGUGCAUUUGAUUGAUGUUAAGAGAAACAAAUGUGUUUGAAGUUUUGUAGUGGGAAUUGAGCCCAUCUGAUCUUGAAAUAGGUUGUUUUGGGUUGGUGAAGCCCUUUCACUUGUAUAAAUAGAAUUCUUUAUCACUUGAGGGUAAAUUUUCACCCAUGGAUACCCAUGGGAUUGUCUGAAAUAUAUCAUCACUUGUAAAGACAGAGGUAAGCUUUAUUCUAUUUGGACGCUACUCCAAACUUUCAAUGGUUUACAUUAUAACUUUAAUUUUCACACAUUAAGUUCGAAGCCUGGAUAACUCAGCUUCGCAAAAAAGAAAAAAGAAAAAAGAAAAAAAGAAGGUAAUUUCAUAUUGACCUUACAUAUGUGGGACUUUUGCGCAUGAUUUACAUAGAUUUUCCCUUCAUAUAAUUUCUAUAGGAGAAAAUUUUAUUUAUUGGUUAAAACUCAAUCAAGGAAGACCCAAUGAGACAAAAUUGAACGAAGAAAUAGAGAUAUUACUUUUUUUAAUGCUGAGAUAAGUGCUCAAAGUUGUAACUCAACAAGGAAGAUCUUUGAGUUGUCACAUCCUAAUAACGUGCCCUAACUUCUUGAUUGUUGUGGUCAGUAGGGCAUUGGUAAUUAAGUCUGCAUGAUUGCCACACCAACAAAUAUGUUGGCCAUCUAUAUUGUUGUUCUUAUCAUGCUGAUGUGUAGGGAAAAAAACUUAUGGGUUUUUCUUCUCCUAAUUAACCAAAUGUGAAGGAAGUAUGUCGAAUAUAUCAAAAAAGGAGAAAGUGACAACUAGAGGUUGGGUGUACGAAUAGGAGAUGUAUAAGCACGGGUGGAAGAGAUUUUGGUUUUGUUCAUCUUUUCUCAACAAAAAUGAACUCACGUUAGUCACUAGUUAAAUUGAAAAUAGGUGUUAAAUAUUAUUGUGUGAGACACAAAGGAAACAAGAAACUUGAAAACAUGAUAUCCAAACUCGAAGGUGUGUAGCAUGUUAUAUUCCAACAAACUACAUAUCUAUACUGAAAAAAAAGAAAAAAAAGAAAAAAAAACUCUUUUUAUGAAAUUAAACAUCCUCCUUUUGUCGACCUUCUUAUUGCUCCUCCUCCUCUCCUUUAGGAAAUUGGUAGACUUCGAAAAAUUUCGAAACAGGUAUUUCCGCCCAAAAUGGGGACCUUUGUACUUG